CAUCUCCACUUGGCCGUCCGCCCCUGCCAUGGAGCCGCUCCAGCAUCGUCGCACGUCACUGCUACAGUCCGCACCUGCUCAUGUGACUCUGCCUCGAGUCUUCCUCUGUCGGCCCACCUGUUGACUGCGCCUCUGUCGGGUACUUCCCCUUCCGCCUAGUAUGUCCCCCGCCUCCACUCUGCUUUUCCAAAUCUCAUGUACUCUGCUGUCUGCUCUGCUCUGUAUAUUAUAGUCAACUGCUGCUCUGAAGCCUGAAUCUGAAUAUUGUAUACUCUGCCUCCUCGUGCUCUGCCUCCGAAUCCCCCAGCCCCCCCCCGCUCCUCUGUUCUGCUCCCCCAAAUAUCCCAGGUCCUGCCGUCUCCUCUGUUCUGGUCCCCCAAAUCUCCCAGCUCCCUGCCGGCUCCUCUGUUUUAGUCUCCCAAAUCUCCCAGCCACAUGCCGCCUUUUGUAUUUCUUGGCUCUGCCUUUGGCCAUGGACUGGUGCAUGUACUCUGCUCUUAGCUGGACUAGUGCAUAUACUCUGCUUUUAGCUACACUAGUAUGUAAUGUAUGGGCUCAAGAAUUGGGAACGAACAAGGUAUAUGUGUUGCUCUAGUAUCUAAAGUUCUAGCCUACACAAUGCCUUCAUUGCGCCUAAAAUGUGUGUAUGGCGUCGCCUAGGCGUUGUGAAGGGGGUCCGGCGCCGCACCUCGCCACAACGCCUCAGCAUUUUAAGAGCUUGUCAACAAAAGAAGUACGAUAUAGAAAGUCGCUGGCUGUUCGAGUAAGAUACAAAGAAAGCAAUUCAAGUUUGCAACUGUUUUUACCAUCUCCUGAAUAAAACACAUGGCUGGAAGCUCCCCUAAUGCUAAUUCAAAAACAGAUCAUCAACACUUUCUACAGUUUCACUAUCCAUACUAUUAUUCAGAACUUUAUGGUUCCGGUGUUCCUCUAUAUGUGGGUUCUUUAAUCAUUCGUAUAAAUCUUCAUUUGAAAAAUGAUGCUGUUAAAGGUUUUGGGUUUAGAAUACCAAGUUAUGUGCUCAUGUGCACAGACCAUAUCAUAAAAGAAUUGGACAUACAAAGGCAGAACUCUUUCAAUGCUUAUUAAGAUCUUUCAAGUCAACUAGCGUAACAACUAUAGUAUCACAAACAAGAAAAGAGUCCACAGUUUUUGUCGCAUCUUUUAAUUUAUUCUGGCGGUACAUAUAUAAAUGCCAGCUCUACAAAAAGAACAGACUAAGCUAUUUUGGAACGGAAGGUGUUUUUCUCUUUCCUUUCCUGUUAGGGAAUAUUAAUUGUAUUUGCAUCCAAAAGUAAUGCCUCUCUCGUCAGCUACAUAGGAAAAAUGUGAGAUCACUGGGUUUUAUCCGCAUAGUAACGACAAAAUGGCAUCCCAGAUACUUGCCCAUUCAGCUGUGUCGUUGCAUGACCAGAUCUUUGAGUUGCAGUAUUGUGAACACCCAUUGGACAUCAUCAACAAGUAAUGUCAAAUCAUCAGAUUCAGGAUGUUAUGUCACAGGAAUAUGCCUAGAUUCAGAAUCUCCGAUCACUAGGAACCAUAAACCUAAUUCCCAAUAGCAUCCAAACCAUAAACGGAAACUUUCAACAGCUUGCAUUUUUAACAGAGUAUAAAAAAGAAGCCGACAAAUCAUCACACCUUAUUCGCAACAAUUGCUGCGUCGCGGCAAAUCAACUACAACACGAACACUCAAUCUCACUUACAGAGCUUCCCUCCCCCCAACAGACAAAAUCCGCAAUCACAAGUACCGUUGUACACACAAACCGCAGGACUCAAACACUGAUCAGUGAUCACCCAGCGGCGGGGGCGCGGGUUCUUCGUCUCCCACCCCACGCGUAUCUGACACACCCACGCCGCAGCUCCCCGUCGCUUCCCCCAAACACAGGACGGGCACACGCGCAGCUAGGGUUUCUACCACCGGGAAGGCCUAGAAGGAACAGGAAGAGGAGCGGGGGCAGCGGAUGGAACCUGUAGAGGGUGGCGUUGUCAGGGUCGAGCUUGAUGGCCUGCGUGUAGAGCGCGGCGGCCUUGAGGUAGCUCCCCGCCUUGAACUGCUCAUUCCCCUGGUCCUUGAGCGCCGCCGCCGCCGCAGGAGGCCCUCCUCCUCCGCCGUCUGCCAUCUCCGCCGCCGCCGCCGCCGCCGCGGGGUUAGGGUUUUGCGGUCCGCGAGCUCCCCGCGCUCGUUUUCGUUCACUUUUUUUCUUUUUCUUUUUCGCAGUUUUUUCUUUCUCCCUGUUUUCCGCACGCAGGAUCAAGGAAAAGCACGUGCGGUAUACCGGAGAUCCUCUGCUGCAUACGGGGCCCAAGGCCCAAGGGUGGUUUGGUCAUUUUCGUGUAUGGUAUUCCAAUUUGAAAAAUCCUGUCAGCUAGAGCGGAAUGCAAUGGUUUAGGAUUCAACCUCGAACAACGCAAUCCGAUAUCACUUAUAACAAACCUUAAGAGGGUGUUUAGUUCCUCAUAAAAUACAAAAUGUAAAAUGCUAACUACUUUAAAAUGAUGGAAUAUAAAAUGCUAAAAUUUUUAGGAUUGUGUUUAUUCCAUAAAAAAUACAUAAUUUAUCGCUCUCAUGAGGACCUCUUUAGACUCUUUUGGGCUUUUUUUAGCCUCUUGAGGCUAAAAUCUAAAAUAAAAAAUAAUCAUCUUUUUUGCUAACAAAUUUUGCAUGGUGUUUAGUUUCGUUAUACAAAAUGAUGGAUCAAAAUCAUUUUUUUUUCUUUCUUUUACUAUUUUGCCUGUGUGUUUUCUAGUUUUCUUUCUUUCUUUCACUAUUUAUUAAUUUAUUUACCUCUGAUAUUGCGUACGAUGACUAACAAGUCGUAAACUAUAUGUAUGCAGGGUCGUUGCUUGUGCUGCUAUAUAUUCUACCAAGUAUGCAUGUUUGAUAUUUUCUUUGGCCUUUGGCGUAUGCAUACAGGGCGUAAAAUAAAAAACAGUGACAGAUCGGAUGCAUGCCGGCCAGCCAAGCUUCAUGUUAUUUAAACUUCAAACUAUAUAUGCCGUGUUCCUUGCAUAUUUCUUUCUUUGUAUAAUAAAAAUGUUUCUUUUUCUUUAUAUCCUUGAAUCUUUAUCUUUAUCUAUAUUUUAGUUAUAGUAUCAUAAAUGUUAUUAUUCUACAAAUCCAAGAUGCUUUAACUCUUCAAGAUUUCUUGGAUUGACUUAGGCCUUGUUUAGUUCACCUCGAAAACCAAAAAUUUUUCAAGAUUCCCCGUCACAUCGAAUCUUUCGGCACAUGUAUGAAGCAUUAAAUAUAAACAAAAAUAAAAACUAAUUGAACAAUUUACCUGUAAAUCGUGAGACGAGUCUUUUAAUCCUAGUUAGUCCAUAGUUAGACAAUAUUUGCCACAAACAAACGAAAGUGCUACAGUAGCGAAAUCAAAAAUCUUUCGCAUCUAAACAAGGCCUUAUAAUUUAGGAUGGAGAGAGUAUCGUACAAUGUAGAGUUUUUUUCUAUAUAGACUCAUAUAUUUAACCCAUGCUCAUACGAGUUAGGCAGAGUCUGAUUCCAACACAUAUUAGGUUCGUGCUCAUAUGGGUUACAACAACUCGCGGCUAACGAUGAUACAUAGUCCAAUGACAAUAUAUGCAGAGCUUUAAGGUAAUAUAUGGAUAACUAGAAAUCUAAUCUAAAUAAAUAUCUUCGAUUUCAAAAUAUUGUUUAGUAUUUUUAGUAUCUUACUAAUAUAUUAACUAAUUAACCUUGGUUGUCUUUGUCUAUUUAUGAAGAGGGGCAAAAUGGUCAUUUCAGUGCAAAACAAUAUUUUUACACUAUAGUUCUCAUCAUGUAGAGUGUAAAAAAAUUUAUAGUAUAAUUUUCUAGCACUUAUAUGAUUUUAUAUCUAUUUUGUAAUAAUGUUUGAUUAGACGUAGUGUCCGCCAGCAAAUUUGACAAGAAACGGAGUAUCUUUAAACAAUCUAUUUUUUCAUAGUGUCCGCCGGCAAAUGGCCACCAUUCUGCAUGUCCCACAGCUAAUUCUCCCAAAAAUAAAAGAUAGAUCCUAUAAAUUUCUCACAAAAAUCUAAAACAUUUGACCACCAAUUCGAUAUGACCUAAUUACCAUUAAUAAUAAUAGCUAUUGAAUCUAUUCUGUUUUCUAAAUAAUUAUCCACCUCUUUGCUAAUAUAUAAAAUAACUCAUGAUCUAAAGUAUACCUAAAUUUGCAUCUAAUUACUCACUUACUCCUAUUACAAUAAAUAUUUAUGUAGUCCAUUUUUAUCUCAUUACUAAGAAAAUUAAAUAUCCUCUCAAAUAUACAUCUAAAAGAUAAUCAAUAGAGUCUGUCUACCCAGAAACCGGUUGUUUUGGCCUCCCCAACAACCGGUUGUUGGAAAGCACCAAAACAACCGGAUUUGCAAUCAAAUAAAAUCUGGUUGUUUUGGCUCCAUCCAGCAACCGAUUUUUCUGAACCUCAGAUCAAAAUCUGAUGAUCCAAAUAAUAGACACUAAAAUCUAAUGACCACAGUUAUAAUCAACACUCAAUCAUAAAUACAAAUAUUACACACAUAAUGCAAAAAAAAAUAUUACAUCAACAAAGGAAUAAAUUUGCAUCAAUGUAACACUAAAAUUACAAUGAACAAACCACCGUAAAUAUAGAAAUAUAGCACUGUAAAUACUUUACAAGGAGAAUAUAAACACAUGAAAUUGAAGACCUGUUAUCUGAAUCCACGAGGAAAAAAAUAACAGCCUAGGCAUGGGUGCCUACUUGAGGUGCUUCAACAUCUCCUGGAAGAACUGCAUGUGCAUGUUGUGGUCACACCAGAGCACAGAUGUCUUCUCUCAGCGAAUCAAACAUUGAGUCCCUCGCAACAACAAAGGUACCAAAUGAUGAGCAAUCAGGGAUGUACACUUUGCAGCAGCAGUCAGAAUCACAUAAGAAACUAUGAAUUGAAAAAAAAUGACCCUAUCUUAAAAGGUACUAUUGCCAGGCACUACACCAUACUUGUACUCGCACAAGAAUGAAGAUUGAGAACUGCAUAACAAAUAUAUAUAUAUAUAUAUAUAUAUAUAUAUAUAUAUAUAUAUAUAUAUAUAUAUAUAUAUAUAUAUAUAUAUAUAUAUAUAUAUAUAUAUAUAUAUAUGUCAAUGAUUUAGUCUAUUGACUACAUGAAGAGAGCAAGCAACCACAACAAUUCACAUAGACAUAACAUACUCCUCAGAAAAAAAUCAAAAACAAAAAACAGAGAAAAAUAUCAGACACAUUCUAAAAUUCAAAAAAAAAUGAAACAAAAAAUCUUCAGAAAGACAUACAAAACUAUGACAAAAAUUUUCAGAAACAAGAAAUUCCAAAUAUUUUCUAUGGAAGCCAUAUAUACAAGAAGAAAUAUGGUAGAUACUUCACAAAUGCAAAACAAACUAUUUCAAAAAAUGAGAAGGGGUCUUAUACCUAGCUUACAUGUGUGCACACACGGUGCAGCUUCCGAUGGAGAAGGUGUGCACAAAGAAAUCCUGAACAAACAAAUGCAAAAAAAAAUAGCCUUGAAUUUGACAAUAGCAACAUCCUAAUAAAUCUUAAGUCAUUUAAAACCUAAAGCUCUGAAGUGAACUAAGACUUUGGGAAAGAAUCAGAACUGCUAUGCUGAAAACAGAAUAGGGGAAAUGGAGCAAAAAAUGAAAAAAUAAAGAACAAGCAGUAAAGAAUAUGCAAAAGAACAAGUCAGAUAUCUUUCAUUGGAUAAGGUUGAUAACCUAAGCACAAUACAUAAAACUCAAAUACUUACAGCAACGAACUACUAAAAUUACACUUUGAAUUAGAAAAAAUUACAUCGAGCCCUAGGAUGUAAAAAUAGUAAUAUUAGCAUAUAAGUGAACCUACACAUGGCUGAAACUCUAAAAGAAUGGCACCCUAAACUCAUUUGCUCUAUUGCCUUGCCUACAAGUCUAACUACGAACUAUAUAGUACACUACUACAAGGGUAACGUCACCCCAAUCAACUCCAAAACACCUUCACUAGGACACUACGACAUUUGGCUGAACUUGCAAACCAAAGGCUUAACCAUUGAGUUGAUCAGAGCACAAUGGUUGUUUCUGAACAAAUGGUAUGCACGAACUCACUAACUAAAAAUCAGCUAGGUGAGAACAGAUAGAACUGCAAUAUCUUCAAGGACCAAACCUAAGAAGAGAACUCACAAAAAACCUACAACUAAAUGCCUAGUAAGUAAUCAACCUGAUGACUACCUGCAAGGCAUAAACUAAUACCUAUGUAAAAGUUAAAAAAAAAUCUAGUUCUAUACCACUAGGCUUGGGCAUUUAGUUCCCAGUAGGCCUGGACAGUACAAAGAAAAUGUAAAUGCAAAAACCAAGCUCAAUCUACAUGUACUCCUAGCUUGCUGCAAUGACAAAUCAUCAAGCAAAGUGCUUCAUAAAGAUCAUUCAAUCCAACUAAAAAAAGAAAAAAAACCAAACAAACUACUGAAGAACAAGAGUAUGCCCAAAAACACCUUUAAUAACAAUUCUGAUCAGCAACUACAAUGAACUGAAACAACUGACCAAAAACUAAUCUAAUCUUGGAGAAAAAGAACACUGCAGAGCAAUGCAAUUAUCAAAAAACAUAUGCAAAUUCUUCAGGAACAAAAAUAUAACUUUUAUAUAAAUUACAGAUCCCAAAAAAGUUUUUCAGAAACACAUGAAAAAUUCUUCAGAAAAAAAUCCAAAUAUUUUCUAUGGAAGGCAGAUAUUAAAGAGAAAUAUGGCACAUACUUCACAAAUGAAAAACAAAUUUCUUCAGAACAAAUAGGUGACCAGACAGUCCAUAAACAUGUUAAGACGAAACCAACUACAUUAUCUAAUAGAUCCUAAUGCAACAUGAGACGUCAUGACACAAACCACAUGAAAAAAGUAGAGAUGCCAUACAGCCAGACAUAAGCAAAUGAAAGAAAGAUGAACCACAUCAUCAGAGAAGAAAAAAAAGGCUGGCUCCAAAUAGGUAGCCUGUAGAAACUGUAAUGAAACUAAUGAUGGCAAUCAAAUUUACCAUAUUCUAGUACAAAAUUAUAGUGAAUAAAUCAUGUAAAUAUAGUAAUAAAUAGUGUAAAUACACUAAAAGAAAAUUUAAAUGCAAUCAUGUGUGGCACCGUAACCUGAUUUGCUCUAUUGACUAGAUGGAUAGAAACACAUUGCUCAAUAAAGCACUCAAAGACAAUUUCCAAAUUGAACAGAUAAAAAAAACAAGACAUCAAAAGAAUGAUUUGCUCUAUUCCAAAACACAAAACACAUUUCCACACUCUUCACAAAUGAGAUAGAUACUUGACCAUAUGUUCAAAUAAAAUAAACAGAGAUCUAACAAGUGACAACAAACAAUUUCACACUUGACAAUCAAAAUAGGUACAUCAUUAUUGCUGGAAUAAUACAUUUAGAGAGCAAGCAACUUACAAAUUCAUCAUUAGAAUCAGCAUGGCCUUUCAGCAUGGCCUUUCAUAACCAAUAUCUGCAUGGCAUCUCUUAGUUGCAUUAGAGGCAAAUUAGCAAUAAAGGUAUAAAACCAAACAUUUUAUAGACAGAAGGUAAUUGAUGUGUAAACCAAACAAUUUAUAGAUAGCAUAAUAUAGAACCUCAGUUUGACAGCAAAUAGAAAUAAAUUCAUGUUUCAUUUUCUAAAGCUAUCUCUUGUUACAAAUUGAAAUGACCUAGCUAAACUCCACACCAUUUCCAAUUUUCCUGGCAUUGUCAUCUCUAAGAAUAGAAUGCCUAGUAACGUCAUUUUUAGAAAUACAACAAUUAGACACUACAAACACACCAUAACCAAAGUCUUAUCAGAACUACCAUGAACAAGUAUACACAAUAUAAUCUACAACUUUGACAGCUUGAACUGGUAUAACUCAACACAUAUAGGGAAAGUACUAUAGAAAAAACAAUAGACCCAGCAUAAGCAAAGCUCACCAUUCCUUUCCUAUAACUCUACAACCUCCCAUCUAUCUACCCCCAAAUUUCUACACGGCCAACAAAGGAGAAAGGACACUAAAUCAACCAACAGACCUAUGAACCAGAUAUCAUUAAAGCAUAGCCAAAUCUGCAGAACACGGCGACAAAGACGACGCAUCCACGCUGAAUCAAAACACCUACGUCAAACCCCAGUUUGAGCAGCACGCAUCCACAGAACAUGAUGACACAUAGGCCGCAUCUAUGCUAGAACAAAACCAUUGGGACAACAGAACACGGCUACGCAGAUCCCGCAUCCUGAAUGGACAAAACCUCGACAACCUACCCAAAAAACCAAAACACAUCCAAAAAAACAAGGACACAGAGGCUGCAUCGGCGCUAGAGCAAAUCCACAGCGACAAACACCAAAUCAACAAGAGCAGCAUCCCCAGAGCAUGCCGGCGUAAUCCCAUCCUCGAUGGAUCAAAAACCCGGCGACAAACCCGAGAUGAACAAGACAUCAAACCACCCCUAGAAAUCAGAGAUUCAAAAGAAAUGAAGACAAACCACCACACCCAAAUCACUGACUAACGCGAGAACAAACCCUAGCAACGGUUGAAACUAUCACAACAAGGAGCAGAAACAACUUAGCUCGCCAAACCCUAGAAAUGUCGGCCGCCACAACGGGGAACGUCGAGUCGCCCGGAGAAGAGACGAAAUGAGAAUGAGGAAAGGGGGAAAUGGGCGCUCCAACUUCGGAUGCGCAGACCCCACAUGACAGAGUCACGGAGACCCAAGGAGCGAUGGCCAAACAGAAAGCGCGAGAUCAAACGUCGCAGCACGCUACACGUGCCAUAUCUAACGGCCCAGAAUUCGGUUGCCGGAGGGAGCUAGAACAACCGGUUGACAGAUAGUAAUUCUGAAUCAAUAUUGUUCAUUAAAAAUUGUUUAAAAACCAUAUAGCAUGUAGAUGUUUGUACAUUGCCCACUUUUAUCAAUAUUAAUAUAUUAUGAUUUCAUUAAUGUAACAUACACAUGUUAGCAAGGAGCCAUAAAUAUAUAUAUGUUCAUCAAUAAAAUAUUUCCUUAACAACUGAUAUACAAGUAAUGAUACUAAAAGUUGUUUUAAAUCUGUAUUAGUAACCAUGACAUAAUUUAUAUAGGUUGUUAGUUUAUGUAUAUUUAUAUAUUUGUACUAAAUGUUUGAGACCUCUAUGUUGAUAGUAUAACCAUAAUUGUAUGUGUAAAUAGAAAAAUUCAAUCAUUUUAAGAAUUAUGGACGACUAUUGAUGGCUAUGUUUUUUGAUCUAUCUACCCUUAACUCGAAAGUGUUUUAAAAGCGUUUGACACACCGUUUCGCUAAAAGGAAACCGCUCCCGAUUAGUGAGAUGAGGUCCGAUCCUAAUGUAUAGAUAAAUAAUAAAUAAGUGUGUGGGCAUGUUAUGGGGUGUUUGGGACUGCUCUGCUCUAUGUUUUCAGCUUCGCUCCAUGUUUUUUAGCCAAACGGUUUUAGCUCUACGCAUUCAGUUCGAAAAAGAAUGGAGUUGUGAGAGUACCUAAAGAGGUACUCCACAAACUCUAGUUUUUGUGGAGCUACUCUAUGAUUAAGUUUGUGGAGCAGAGUUUGUUGAGCAGUACCAAAUACCCUCUUAGUGUACGUAAGUAUACAAAAUAAGUAAAAGGGGCAACAAAACAUAGGAAACUCAGACCUUUAUUAAUUCAUUUGAGAAUUACAAAGUACACGGUCCUACUGCAAUUACAUUGAGUUCCGAUCCUUGAUGAAAGGUUCUUGGUUCUUGGGGGCCCCGUGAAGCCGUUGGUUAAUUACAUCCACAGUGUUUUGACCGUAGAUAACCUCUGAUUAAGCUAUGUAAAUGGCCAUAGUCUUGAAUUCUGCAUGAACAUUCUCCAAGUAUAAUUUGGCACAGAAUCUAUACCUUACUAAUAAAAAGUCAAAAUUUUAGGCUUUUUUCGUCCAGCCCAUUUCAAAGUGACCAAACUAUCCUACACUGACUGACUUUCAGCCCAAUUUAAGCCCAUUCGGUCGGAUGAAAAAUUGUCCCGUUCUUCCGUCCCAUCGUGGCGUCGUUCCGCUUCCUCUUCUUCCCUUCGUCCUGACGUUCCUCUUCGUCUUCUUCUUUCGAUUUAAAAAACACGGUCGUGAGUUGCAGGCGGGUGCUGCCACUCCAGUGGUCAGGCGGUCGAAUCCAUUGGCCUCACGGCCAGAUCCGGAUGGCCCUGGCCGGGUGGCACGGCCGUCGACGACGGUCAUGGUGGCGAGGCUGCGGCCGGAGUUUCAGCUGGCCGCCGGUCUGGUGGCGGUGACCAUCGAUGCUACUCGCACGGCCUGGCAAAAACCGUUGUCUUGGCUAAUCGACUCGGAAUCGAGAUUAAAUUGGAAUACUACUCCAGAUACUAUAUGCUCCUUCCUAUCACAAAAAACAAUUUUUAGGUAUGUUGGAGUUAAACUCCAAUUCGACUCAGAUAAAAUGUGGGUUCGACAGGAGUAUAAGGUCCCUAUAAUAUUGGAGGAGGUGUAUCUCCCCUUUAUUUGGUGUGAAAUGAGUUAAAUAUUGGUGACCACAAAAAAGGAGCAGGUAUUAGGAAACUGGUAGAGUAAGAAAAAAAAAGCUAAUUUACAAUAUAACGUUUUAUGGUAAUAGGGGAAGAUAUCGGGGAACUGCUGGAGAUACUCUAAAGUUUAGUUGGUGGAUCCAGACAAACCCUUAGACUAAUUUACAAUUCAAAUUACUCAAAAUAGGACUGUAUUAUUAUUGAAGGAAAGUUUAAUGGGUGACUAUGAGUAAAAUACAGAAUAGUAUCGCAUUUUGUGGCUAUAUAUAUAUAUAUAUAUAAGUACCUUGCUAAUUAAUCUGACUGUUCGAUGUCUCUCUAGAUCUCUCUCUGUUUUCCCUAUAAAAAACGAUAUAUAUACGUAUAAGUAUGUAUAUAAAUAUACGCACACGUCGACGAUUUGUUGCCAAAAACAAGGAGCUGAUCUUCUUGAGGCUGAAGCUGCAAAAGGUGGCAAUCAAAUAUAAUGCCGUGUUGGUCGUCAUCUUCGACGACGACGAUCGAGGAGGCGAACUCGGGCCUAUCCCAUGGAUAUCUUUGGGCACGAGCAGUCAUGGCGCCGCUGCUCUUGUUCGCUGGGGCCUUGGCGCUUGCCUACGCCUUGUACAGGCUGGACCCCGUGUACGUAGCCAGCAGCCCCUGGCGUCUGCUGGUCGUCGUGUCGUGGACUCCCUACAUGACGCUGGGCUUCGUGGUGAUGAGCUACAUGGAUCUGUCCCUGCAGCUCGCCCCCGUCGCCGCGCGCAAUGCUCUUCUCGUCAUCACAUGUGCCGGCGGCAUCCUCCUGAUGAUGGUAUCCCUGCCUGUCUACGCCUACGGUCGCCAUGCUUCGGCAUGCAUCCCCUUGGCCUGCGUCCUCGCCGUCCAACUCGCCGGGCUCCUCGCCUUGUGGCUCUGGCUUCACCGCACUUACCGAUCGAGCUCAUGAUUAUUUAAAAACAUAGCCUAUUCGUUUAUCUAAAAAGUCAUGACCAAAUAUCGGUCGCUGAUUUUGUAGCACAGUUGAAUAGUUGGUAGAUAGAUAGUUAUUAGUUUAAGCAUAGAGUAUUAGCUAGGUAUAUACCACCAUAUAUAGUUUUUUUCUUUUCUUUGACAAAGCCAAACGACAAGCUUUAUUCAUCAGAUGAUAUUGUUUACAUCAUUAAUUUGCUAAGAGUGCAGUAGUCGCAUGGCAAUGCAGCCCGAGGCUUGGCGUUUUGACUUGGCCCGAGCAUGGCACGGCAUGGUGAUCAUCGAACCCGGGCUAGCACGGCCCGGGGAACAGGUCAUGCCUGGGCUGCAUCCUAGGCAAGCAACACGGCCCAGGGAUAGCCGGCUCGAAUAAUAGACAAGGUGGCAACCCAACCUCCUAAUCCCACCAGGCCACUAGGCACCAGCCUAGCCCACCAGCAACCCUAAAUCCCCCCACCCCACACCUUAUCACUCUCUCACCCCUCCCCUACCUUCUAAUCGCACGCAGCGGGCAGCGGCGCCACCCCACCCCGCGCCGCUCGGUCCCGUCGCCGUCGGCCUCGAUGCCUCACUCGUGUCGCGUCUCUCCCCUUCUCCCCUAACUCCUGUCUGUCUCGCUAGCCGAGAGAGGGUGAAGCUGUGAAGGUCGCUAGCCGGCACUCUGGGCAGCCCUAGCCCCGAGCUCUGCCCACAGGUGGGAGUGUGCUGCAACGACAUCCUCCACGCCUCUGGGUGCGAGCACGGCGACCACCUUGACCUGUCGACCCUGCUGGCCCGCUCAUUCGCUAACCAACAGGCGGCGCUGCCGGCUCCUCGCCUCCUUGCUGUGGCGGGUUGACCCCAGGUGUGAGCCCAGGUGAGUCAUCCCCACCCGGCACGCAACGUGCUUUUGGGCCAGCCCGGUGGGCCAGCAAGCUGUUCCUGGGUCGUAGGUCAAGCACGAAGCCCACCUUAGCAUGGCCCGACACCCACUGGACCGUGUCGGCCCGUUGGCCAUCUAUAGAGUGCAGUAAUAAAAGUAGGCUGUGAAUCAACCCAUAGACAAGAAACUUUUGACACUAAAGCUUGCCGAGCUAGCUUAGUUUCUCUAUGUUUAACGUCGUCUACGGCAUGCAUGCAUGUAUGGAUUGGGUUUACAUGGCCGCUCACACUGAUGCAUGGAUAUGGUUGAGCAAUCCAUAAUAACUUAAGUAUAAUUAAUGUGUAGGACACACAUAUAUAUUCUGAACCUUAUUUCCUGAUUUUACAGGACUUGAAUGGAAGGUGACGUAAAUCAUGGCAAGUAAUUAAGGAUCAACGUGGCAUGCAAUGGAAGGAAGGAUGGAAUUUCCGUUCAUGCAACAAGCAGGAUCUGUAUUUAAAAGGAAGUCAAUCGAUCCAUGCCAUAUAUAUACGUGUACGAAUCAUCCUCUAACUGAAAAAAUACCACAAGAACACGAUUAACAUCAACUGCAAAUCAUCAUUAUAUUACGCUAGCUGCUGCUGCUGCUCAGCUGCUGGGUGCUUGUGUGCACACACAUCAUGACGUGGUGCUGCUCACGGGCGUCGUCGAUGACGAUCGGGGAGGCGAACUCAGAGGAUCGUCUAUCCCGUGGAUGUCUCUGGGCACGGGCAGUCUUUGCGCCGUCGCUUCUUCUGUUCGCUUUUGCCUUGGGCUUGACCUACGCCAUGUACAGAUCCGUCGACGCCGGCGGCGAGGCCUGCUGGCGUCUGCUGGUCAUGGUGUCCCUACGCGACGCUGGCAGACGUGAUCCUGAGCUACAUGAACCUGUCCCUGCCGUCGCCGCGCGCAACGCUCUUCUCGUCGUCUACGCCGUCGGCGGCGUUUUUCUCAUGGCGAUAGGUUGCCAGUUCUUCGCCUAUGGUCACGCUUCGGCGUUUAUUGCCUUGGGUUUCAUUCUCGCAGCAGCUCUCGCUGGGCUCAUGGCCUUCUGGCUUUGGCUUGAUCGUACGUACCGUAGUGUUCAUUAACUAUUACAUCUCCCUCUUUUUAUAUACUAUAAUAUAAUAUAAUACGGAGUAGUUUUGCUCUUCGCAAUAUUGUUUGUCUCAAAAAUCCAUAUGUUUUUCCAAAUUAGAGACCGUGCAUCAGAGAUGCAGAUGUGAAAAGAUUAGUGACACGCAUAGCCAAAACAGGUAUCUGGUGUGAUUCAUCAGACUCUGAUAGCCUUAUAGCCACAACAUAUAUAUGAUGAGUGUCUCAUGUGACGCAUUUUGGCUAGAAGAGUCUCAAAUUCUUUAGUGCAUCGUCUCAGUAACAAUAAGAGAAGUAACAAAGAAAGAACUGCAUCCACUGCUUCAGUAACUAGAAAAAAGAUGCAAUGCGGCCCGCUAUCAGGCAAAAAACUUCUGCAGCACGCAAAUGAAGAAAAUAGUCCUAUGCCAAACAAAGCACAAACCCAUUCAUUUUAUAAGUCAAAGCAAAAUCUCAAAAGUGAAAGAAAUGCCCAUAAAUAUUCUGUAGAAUUAUAAUUUAUCAUCAACAUGUUACAAUGUUCAAUAAUUUUGACAACAACUCCAGCUACAAUAUUAGGUUCUUGACUGCAUUGCUCUUUCACCAUGUCUACCAUAGCAUGUGAACCAGGAAGCUUCACAGAUGUCCUUGGACUACUUGUCAAAAAAAAAAACAGAUGUCCUUGGACCACGUCCCCAGCCCACAGAAAUCCAUUCUUAAGCAUUAUAGAACCCAAGUCAUCUACUAAUCGGGCAACUUAAGUAUUAUUUUCAGUAGAAACAAGCGAACUAUGAUAUACUAUACCAAUUUUAAAUCCUCCAUUUCAAAAGUGUCGCCUAGGCUAGACGUACCCAGCUAUCCUUGGGAAACACGGGCACCUUAUUGCCUAGGUGUCCAGGUAGACCCUGUUCUCACCUAGAUGCCUAGUUGCCUUUCAAACUAAUUAAAUCAUCCUAGUCUGAUACAGUGUAAACUAAAAGGCAGAUGCACAAUAUAAAAUGCAGCAUGCUGAAUGGCCAGUCAUGGAUACUGUCAAACAUCUUGAUCAAGAAUUUCAUGCAAAUUACAGUAACAACUGGGGCAUUCAAGAAACAUCAUUCCCCUAAGGCAUUACAUCAAACAAUUGAAUGCAGCAGUUGAUCUAUACAUGCGAAGCAUCACUAAUGUCCACCAGCAGGAGCUGAUGCUCCGAUGCUGGAUCACCAUAUUUAAUUGUGUGUCUAUUUUAAUAAGAAUUUAAUGAAAAUCACACAAUCUAAUCCUGGGCUUGAAAACAACAGAAGGCUAGGAUGCUAUGCAAUAUACAUGACAACAUAAUGCAUUAUUAGAAGAUAAAUGCAAAGCCGCAGCCAUUUGGAAUGGAAGCAAUUUCAUGGUUGAACUGUAACAAAUCAGAAAGUUGCAUUAAUGUAGGACUAUCUUCUUGUUGUCUUAUUUUGCAUAUCUGAUGAACAUUCUAAAAAAAACAAAGAAAUCACCCAAAAAAAUAGAAACAGAUUUAUGUUGAGAAACAAGGAUUGGGAUACACUUGAGAUUGUUUGGUUUGUGGUGUACCUCAAGAACGUUUUCGUGGUAGAAUUGGUCAUUUCAAACUUGAGAACAUUCAGUGUACCACUCUCCAUCUUAAAUACCUACAGAUCCCAAUAACCAAACUACACAUAUCAAUUAAUAUUUUGAGAUUAAACGGACGCAAGAUUAAGAGACAAAUCGCAUUCAAAGCAUAAAGAAAGGAUGAGCGCAUACCUGCUUGGUGUACGUGUUGUCGGCAAUGUAGCAGAAAUCCUCCAUGUUUGGUGUCAGUUCCAAUUUGACCCAUCACAUAAAAAAAUGGAACUCAAUUUCUUUAACUAAUCAAAGAAACAUGGAUGCCAGAUUAAUGGAUUUGGUGCUUGGGGGGGGGGGGGGGGCAUGGCGGGGCUUGGUCAGCGCCUCUGUAGAGCGGAGGUAAGAGCUGUUCUUGUAGGACGUGAAGAGGCGCACAGAGCUGCAGGUCAUCCUCAUCAUUGACAGUAGCAGAGGUAAGCGAUAGCUUAGGUCAGGAGGAGCCUUGGGUGGCAGGAUCUGGGAAGAGAGAACAAAGGAAGCGGUAAGCUUACGGGAGACAAGGGCCAUGUACGGUGGCGGGGGUCAUGGAGGAGGCCACAUUGCACACACUGUGAAGAGGGUUGAAAAAAAAAUGAAAAUAUUAAUUUUAUUGAAAUGGUAGAGGUAGAGAUGAUAGAACUAUAGAACAAACAGUGAUGUAAAGACCAUGUUGUUUCUAAUACAAAUAGGAAGAUAAUUACCUUCCACCAAGCUGAUUUGGCAUGCUCAAUUGCUGCAGUAAGGUCACUAUCGCUAGUCAGGAGAACUCUGUCACUUCAUCGUAGUCAUACUGUUGAGCAUGGAGAACAAUUCAGGUAAGUGCAUUGCCAACAAACUGUAUCAUAAAUUCUGAGGACGUACAUCUUUUCCAAUCAACAUGUGUGUGCUUCCAAGACAAGAACCUACCUCUUACCACAAGGUUGAUGCUCAAAUUUUCACUAUCCACUCCUAGCCUGUAUGCCACAGCAGACACAAGGUCGUCUAAGCUUUCUGAAACUACAUGCAGGCAGAAAAGGAAGCACAGCCUUAUGAUGCAUUGUCAAGAAACAGAAAACAGGUAAGAGCAAUGAGCACCAACCACAACUGAAUCUGUGCAUACACCCUUUCCUUCAAUUUUAAAACAUAAACUGCUAACUUGAGGAGGAUGUAUAUGCUUCCCGACAGCACUGUCUGCCACCAUUUGAGAUUCAUCACUGCACGAGGAUGCACUCAAGUUAGUUAGGGGGGUUAAUAAUUUCAAGCGCAUACAAACCAAUGACUUCCACACUAGAACAGGCACUCAUUCUGCUGCUAUGAAUGGACUAUCACACUCUCCAAGACAAUAGGAUUGUCAUGGUUGUGUUUGUCAUCCAAACACUCUCCGAGCAGUCAAGAGCAGUCAGCACAAAUUAGAAGAUUUUAUUCCUCGAACACGCAGGAGAGCUGUGUAUAUUUAUAAAUUAGAGAGAAAACUUUGUAAAUUAGAAGAUUCAGUGCAUAGAUCAAAACUUUAUAUGCUAUAUGCAAAAGCUGAAUUUAUUAUAAAUAUAAAGGACUUCAAUAUAUAAGUUUGAAGUCAAUGGGUGCCCUUUCACACUUCACAGGUCACAUAUUUGAAUGGCCAUAUUUACCAUCAGUUGCAGCAGCAUGUAUCAGAAAAUUAUCUAACUGGCAGAAAAAAGAUAGUGCAUUGCAUUCAUAAUCUGGCUCCUACAUCAAUUCUAAGUUACAAGUUCACGCAAUGAAACCAAAUCAAAUUAUAGAUCCAGUUCAUGCAAGCUACAAGCUAAGUGAUUAACAGGUUCAGUCUACAAAAAAUAUAUUGAUCAAAUGAUUAGCCUAGUAUCUGAAGUAACUGCAGUAGCAAGGGACAGUGAAGUAGUAUCAUACUGGUAGCAUUCACCAAUGUUUGUAGACUGGGGAUGUCGUUUCAUAAUUUCAUUUAUAUUAAGCAGAAGUUUUAAAUUACUCGUUACAAUUUCUAUUAGUGUUAUGAAUAAAAUAGUCACAUCUAUUUACUAAUGACAUCACACGGUGGAUACAUGUUACUGUGAUUGCAAUAUGGGUGCUCUCCAUAAGAGAGGACAAAAUAAACAUGUCAAGCCAACAAGCUCUACAGAUCUACACUACAAAAUAUAUGUACAUCAUGUUCAAAAAUAUAUAUAUAUAUGUACAUCACAAACCAGAUCAACGAAAACAGAUCUACAGGAAACAUACAUCACAAAAUGAAUAUAGGCAACAUGCUUUUUGUAAAUCUGAUUAGAAUUAACAUAAAGCAGCCGGAAAUAAUCUUUGACUCAAUCGUCCAUUCAAUGUUGCAAUGAGAUUACAAAUGCUAACAUAGGAGAGUAUUAAACAGUGUUUUCAGCAGUAAAAAUAAAGUAAAUAGGAGCAGAAUUAAAACUGUAUCAGUUGCCAAAAUGCCAGAUAACAAAAGAAAUGAUAAAUCACAUCAGCAAGUUACAGGAUAGCAGUGCGCAAAUACAGAAUAAAUGCAUAGGAACCAAUAAAAUGAUUACUGUGAAAAAAUAUAUCAGAAGCUUUAGAGUUCCCCUAUGGGCAGCUUUAGAACAGUUUGCACUGCAACCUUGUGCGCUUCCCAAAACUCUAUAGCAUUGCCAUUUCUCCACCAUCUCACAGUACUACAUGUACAAUAUGUAUGUCAGUGAAGUAGGACAGUGACAUUAUAGUAGAAAAACUGGAUAUCUAUUAGGACAUCCCCGCUCCCCAUUAGGAAAAAAAAACACUUCAAGACAAAGUAAUCAGUAAAAGUCAAGAAAGUUUAGGGUGGACAGAACAAACAAAUUUGACUAGUAUAACAGAUUUAAAACGAUUCUACAGUAGUAAAGUAUUAAUGUCACUGGGACUGCACUUCUUCCGUAAGUGUUUGAAGUCAAGCUCUACUGAAACAGAAGGACAACAUUUGACAUGCAAACAGAGCUUAAAAUAGUGUAGUACAUCAACAAUUCUUCUCAGAAUAAAUUGCAGAAGUACAACAUUGAGUCUGAUACUCCGAUAUGUCCCAAAUAAAUAGCAGAAGUACAGUGAUAGGUAUUUGAACCAAACAAAUAAACAAUAUGCACAAUAACCUAGAUAAUACUUGCACUAUUGAAUUGGUUGGGUUAAUGCUUACCACGAGAGCAUCUUCUGCCUUUGGAACUUUCCUCGUUUUGUUUUUUUUUUAUUUACAAUUGAAACCUUGUACUUAGUGCUUUCAUUAAAAAAGCUAAAAGAAUACUCCAUUAGGCCACUCACAAUGCAGACUCUAUCGUAGAGUCUAAAGUUAUUUAUUACCUCGAAUAAUGUGGACUUUGAGUCUAAAUAAGACUUGGAGUCUUAUUUUUUCUACCUCUUUCUUCAAUAAAUAUGCUACCACAUCAGCAAAAUACCAUAAAUAGUAUGUAAUUAAUUGUCUUGAACUGUGUGAUAGAGUCUUGCAUUGUGAGUGCCCUUAGUGAGGGAAAUUAAGGACAGCAAAAUUAUGGCAAAUCUCAGAUAGUUCAUUAAUCUAAUAUAUUGUUUCCUCGAGAGACUCUUCCUUAUGUUCUCUUGACAAUCACAACAAUUUUCUUAGAAGGGUAAGGAACACCCGGUCCCAAAACAACAACAGCCUGCAAACGAAGCAAGCAAUAAUGGUACUAUGAAUAACCGACGCAAUGUAGCUCAUAAAGGGGCGCCGGCGGACAAAACCUACGCACACACCUGAGGAGAGGAACAGACCAUCUGACGGCAUCUGGCGCUGCAGCAUGCACACCAGGCCAGGAUGUAGACGAAGAUAUGGAGGAAGAUACUGGCGUAAGAGACUCCCGUGGCCAGUGUGGAAGACGGCAGGAAGUGCGCAGCUGCCGAGACCUGGGCGGAUAUGGAGAGUGCGAGGACCAGUGCACGCAGUGCUGUGGGGAGCAAACGGCGAGAGGAGCGGAACACUCUCACUGAGAAGACAAGACUGUACAAGAGCGUGAGCCAGGUCCAUGCGUCGGCGUGGAGGGUCACGGUAGGACGACGUGUUCUUGUACAGUCCGACGGCUUUACCUCCGCUCUCCUCUUCCUCCACGCCGACGGCGUAGGUGAGGUCGAACAAGUCCACGAUCAUAGGUGAGGUCGAACAGUGCUGUAGGUGAGGUCGACGGCGUAGAUUGCUACUUGCCCGAAACGGCAAAGAGGGAACGGACGGGGGCGGCUGUGGCCGGCCGGCCGGCCGUGCGCAAGGCGACGAGGUGGGGAGACCUCACUUCCAGUCCAGAGACAAGAGAGACAAACGUCUGCACCGCACGGCUGCUGCGCCCCCCGACACGACACUAGUGGCCCCCUCCCGUGGUGAGGACUCCUACAGUAGACAGAGAGAGACAUUUAAUUUGGGACGGAUAACUUUGACUAAGUAUAUAUUAAAAAAGUAUUAAUAUUUAUAAUAUAUAAUUAGUAUCAUUAGAAAUAUCUUUGAGUCUAGUUUCUCAACAAAUUCAUUUGAAGAUAUAAAUAUUACACGUAUUUUUUUUUUAUAAAUCGAGUCAAACUUAUCACACGAAAAUCUAUAACAACAUUUAAUUUGGGACGGAGAGAGUAUGCACGUACUUCCUCGGUAUCAGAUUUAGAAGUCAUUUUAGACAAGAUCUCUAUAUCAAACUUGAGAAUAUAAAUCAUCAAUAACUUUUAAAUUGUUGAGUUUGCAAAUAUGAAAAUUAUAUGAAUAGAUUUGCCUUGAAAAAUACUUUCAUAAAACUAUACCUAUACCAUUUUUCCUAAGUAUUUUUUAAUAAAAAGAUAAUAGGUCAAAGUCGUGUUUUGAAGACCGUGUCACUGUCCUAAAUGACUUCUAAAUCAUAUACGGAGGGAGUGUGUAGAAGGAGGAGUAUUCGCGCGUGCGUGCGUACCAUUAGGGAUAAAAAAAGGAUUGUAUACGGACAGAUAUCACCGAUACCACAUUUGUUUUCAUAUUUCUGGUCAGAUUUGGAUUCGAAUACAAAUAAUGUCAACCUUGUCGAUAAGAUACAAUUGGAUGUCGAUAUAUAAAUAUACAAUUUAAAUAUUCAGAUAUAAAUACAGUAUCAGACGUUGAAUAUUCGGACUCAGAUACAAACAACUCCUCUAAACGAAUCCGGUCUCAAAUAUGGUCAGAAAUAUCUAUACUAUUUUCACCCCUGCUUACCAUAUGUACUAAUGUAUGCAGCAUGCCCAUGGCGAUAGGAGUAUCGGGCCCUGUUUAGUUCCAAAAAUUUGUCAAAUUUUUUAAAGAUUUCUCGUAACAUCGAGUCUUUGAAUGCAUGAAUGAAGCAUUAAAUAUAGAUAAAAAAUAACUAAUUGCACAAUUUAUCUAUAAUUUGCGAGACAAAUCUUUUAGCCUAGUUAUAGUUCAUGAUUAGACAAUAAUUAUCAAAUACAAAUAAAAAUGCUAUAGUAGGUAAAUCCAAAAAAUUUGACCAACUCCUGUUUAGAUCUCUUCAAAAUAUUGAUGAUCAAAUAAAAACGAAAGUGUCACAAUAUCAAAAUAAAAAAAAUCUAAACCGGCUUUGUUUCCGUUGGUCGAGUUGGAGUCUUUGCAAGUCAGCCCUUGUUUGCCAAAAAAUUUUAGAUUCACAGUCAUAUCAAAUCUUGUGUGGCGCAUACAUAGAGUAUUAAAUAUAGAUAAAGAUAAUAACUAAAUGUACAGUUUGCUUGUAAUUUGUGAGACAAAUCUUUUGAGUAUAAUUAUGGUUAGACAAUAUUUAUCAAAUACUAUAAACAAACGUGCUACUGUGUGUAUUUUGUAAAAAUUUUUGCAACUAAACCAGGGCCUUGUUUAGUUCCGAAAUGAUUUUAGAUUUCGGUACUGUAGCAUUUUCGUUUUUAUUUGACAAAUAUUAUCCAAUCAUAGACUAACUAGGCUCAAAAGAUUCAUCUCGUGAUUUACAGGCAAACUGUGUAAUUAGUUUGUGUUUUCAUCUAUACUUAGUGUUUCAUGUACAUAUGCCGUAAGAUUCGAUGUGACGGAGAAUUCUUGAAAACUUUUUGGAUUUCGGUGGGAACUAAACAAGGCGCAGGCCUCAGUGCAGGGAGGGCUGUGGCAGCGUGUCUGCUCUCUGCUGUACUCCGUAUGCAGAGGCUCCCAACCAGUUGACCCGUUUUGUAAGUACGCAGACAUUAACAUAACUGGUUUACCUUUUGUAAGUACGGUGGAUUCUAAUUUCCAGGACAGAUUCGGAACCUCUGAUAGCUUUGUAUUUUGGGACGGAUCGGAGGGAGUAUUUGCUUAUCGGCGUGAUAUAACCAGAAUGGAAGGUGCACGUCGGAAAUUGAAAAUCAUGGCAAGCAAGGAUGAACGUGGCACAUGCAAUGUAAAAGAUAGAAAUAUGCAAGCAGCAGGACCCGUACGUACGUAGCAUAUAUAUAUAUAUAUAUAUAUAUAUAUAUAUAUAUAUAUAUAUAUAUAUAUAUAUAUAAGAGAGAGAGGGUAAUUCCUUUCUACACGUACGAGUAUCUACACCGAUCUAUCGUCGUGCGAAGGAAACAGACGUCGGGGAUGUGAGGUAACGUAGGAAACCGAGAUCGUGGAGGGUGGAGUCCGGCCCGUAUACUAUCCUAACGGGUAUUUUGUUUUAAGGCGAGUAUAUACGUGUAUAUUUUUUAGGCAAAUAUAUACGUGCAUGGUGACAACUAUAAUAAAAAACGGAUUUGGUUUAAAUUGUUUGCUUUUGACAUUGGGCUGGGGUACCUGACUUUUUGAAAUAUGUGCAUUUAAAUAGUAGUAUAUGUAUAUACCAAUUUUUUAGAAGUAUGGUUGCAUACUUUAAUAAGGACAUUAGGUAUUUUAUUAAUAUUAAUUUAUAUUGUUUUAGGUGAAUUAGUAUGGACACAUACUUUAAUAAGAAAUUUAAGUAUAUUUAUAUACUUAUAGAAUUUGAGAGUAUAUCCAUAUCCUUAUAUGAUCAUUUUAAUGUUUAUUUUUAGAGUAUGUACUUCCGUCCAUAUUUUUUUAGUAGUGUAGUAUAUACUCAAUCAUUUUAAUUAGAAGGUAUGUACAUGUGAGUACAAUUUUGAAACGAGCUAGACAUGGCAGCUGCCGGCCAGUCGCCCAGUCGUAAUUCACAGGAUUUGUUAACAACGUAUCGCCACAAUUUUUAAUUACUAUAUUUUUAAUUACUAUAUAUACGAGUACGUCCGCAUACGUCGGAUCCAAUUGGAUUAUAUCCAAACCCGUGGAGACAUCACCGGCCCAUUUCCUAGGUCCGGCCGUGUAUAUAUAUAUAUAUGGUUUAGGGUUUAGGGUCGAUCGAUCAAUGCCAUAUAUACGUGCAUGUACCUGUUUGAAUCGACAUAAUAAGACCAUAUAUAUAUAUAUGUUAUGUGUAGGAUAUAUAUAUACGAAUUGAUCCUCUGAUUGAUUUGCAUUGCAUGCGAAGGACACACCAUUGUCAUAUCGACACUGCCGCAUCAUCAGACGUGUAAAUUAAUUACGCUGAUCGAUGAUGGGCCGCAUCAACAUCAUCGUCAUGACGCCGUCGUCGACGACGACGACGACGACGGGGAGCAGGGAGGCGAGGAACUCGGAGCUGGAGCGACGAUCCCGUAGACAUCUCUGGGCACGGGCAAUCUUUGCGCCAUUGCUUGUGUUGGCUGCAGCCUUGGGUUUGGCCUACGUCUCCUACAGAUCAGUCGACACCGUCCGGAGAGGCAGCGGGACGGCGUGGCGGCCCUACGCGACGCUGGUAGAUGUGAUCCUGAGCUACGUGACCCUGUCCCUGCCGCUCGCGCCCGUCGCCGCGCGCGACGCUCUUGUCGUCGUCUACGCCGCCGGACUCUUCCUUUUCAUGCCGGCAAGUGCCGCUGUCUUCUUCUACGGCCACGCUCCGGCGAUUGUUGCCCUAGGCUUCUCUCUCGCAGCAGCCCUCGCUGGCCUCAUGGCCUUCUGGAUUUUGGCUUGAUCGUACGUACCGUACUGUUGACUACCUGCCGCGUUAAAUUAAAUCUCCCCUUUUUCAAAUUUCUCUUUAUGAUAUAUAUACGACACUAAUAAGAAAAUAAGAUGAGAUUUCUAUUCAUCUUAAUGUUUCUUAUUAUUAUAUAUGCGCCUUUGUUUAGAGGAUUCUAUGUCUAAUUAUUUAAAAAAUUGGAUUGAUUGAUACGAGUUGAUUUCCUGUUACGAUGGAUGGAAGAAAGAAUGGAUAGUCCAAUAGCUGCUUCAGCAGCCGCAAGGGCUAUAACAAAAAUUGCGAAAAUGUCUCCUUUUAAUUGGCGACUAUCAAAUAGAUCAGAAAAUGUUACGAGAUUUAGAUUAAUUGAAUUCAGUAUAAGUUCAAGACAUAUUAGAGCUCUAACCAUGUUUCGGCUUGUGAUCAAUCCAUAGAUACCAAUCGAAAAUAAAUAGACACUCAAAAAAAGUACAUGCUCAAACAUCAUUAACUAACUCCUUAUCAAUCUCAGAUUCAUUUCAAUAUGAGGACAAGAAUUGAACCGAUUCAAUUAAUUAGAAUAGAACAAUUACACAACAAAUACCUUCUUUUCUCUUUUGUUGUGUUGGCAGUAGAUGGGUUUUACUAAAUCAAAAUUGUGAAAAAGAGUCCAAUAUUUUUUCUAUCAGAAUUUUUUCACUCCGGUAUGCUUGUAUAUUUUCUUUUCCUAUUCCAGUCCGAGUUCUAUUCUAGUCCAAGUUGUCCUCCAGUCUGCCCUAUUCGAAUCAACCUAAGUAUCAUUCUUGGAGCAACAUAUAUAAAAGAAAAAUCCUAGAAAGAAAAAAAAAGGGAGAGUGUAAGAGGGAUGAAUUGGAAUUUCAUAUAUAAACGAGGCCUAAUACAAUGAAAGAGCAACUUGGAAUUUCAUAGAACAAAAAACAUUCUAGUUUCUUCAAAAACAAGGUUGCAUUAAUGUAUGAUUACCUUUUUGUUUUCUUAUUUUGCAGAUCCGAUGAACAUUCUAAAAAAACAAAGAAAUCACGAUAAAAAACAGAAACAUAUUUAUGCUCAGAAACAAGGAUUGGGAUAAUACUUUAGAUUGUUUGGUUUGUGGUGUACCUCAAAAACAUUUUGGUGGUAGAAUUGGCCAUCUCAAACUUGAGAACAUUCAGUCCACCACUCUCCAUCUUAAAUACCUACAGAUACCAAUAACCAAACUAGACAUAUCAGUAAACAUUUUGGGAUUAAACGGAUGCAGGAUCUAGAUACAAAUCACACUCAAAGCAUAAAGAAAGGAUGAGCACAUACCUGCUUGGUAUAGGUGUUGUCGGCAAUGUAGCAGAAAUCGUCCAUGUUUGGUGUCAGUUCCAAUUUGACCCAUCACAUAAAAAAUGGAACUCAAUUUCUUUAACUAAUCAAAGGAACAUGGAUGCCAGAUUAAUGGAUGUGUUGGGGGGCAUGGCGGGGCUUGGUCAGCACCUCUGUGGUAGGAGCUGUUCUUGUAGACAUGAAGGGCGCAGAUAGCAGCAGGUCAUCCUCAUCAUUGACAGUAACAGAGGUAAGCGACGGCUUAGGUCAGGUAGCCAUGUAGUAUCAUACUGGUAGCAUUCGCCAAUGGUUGUAGACUGGAGAUGUUUUUUUUUUAUAAUUUCAUUUAUUGAGCAGAAGUUUUGAAAUACUUGUUACAAUGUCUACUAGUGUUAAGAAUAAAAUAGUCACAUCUAUUUACUAAUGACAUCAUAUGGUGGAUACAUGUUACUGUGAUUGUACUAUGGGUGCUCUCCAUAAGAGAGGACAAAAUAAACAUGUCAAGCCAACAAGCACUACAGAUCUACACUGCAAAAUAUACAUACAUCAUAAACUAGAUCAAUGAAAACAGAUCUACAGGAAACAUACAUCACAAAAUGAAUAUAGGCAACAUGCUUUGUUGUAAAUCUGAUUAGCUUCAACAAUCAACAUAAAUCAGCCGGAAAUAAUCUUUGACUCAAUCAUGCUCAUUCAGUGUUGCAAUGAGAUUACAAAUUCUAACAACAGGGUAACUAGGACAGUGUUAAAAAGUAUUUUCAGCAGAAAAAAAAAGCAAAUAGGAGCAGAAUUUUGUGAGCCAGUUUCCUCGUGAAAUGCAACGCAAAUUAUCCUUAACAUGCGAGACUCUUCCUUAUGUUCUAUUGACAAUCACAACAAAUCAAAAUUUUGUGAACACAGCUUACUGAAAAAAGUAUCAGUUCUUAAAAAAGUAUCAGUUCUUACUUCCGUACGUAAUUCGGCUGCGGCGUGGGUCGGGUUCGAUAGUAGUGGGCCUUAUGGGCCGGAUUCUGUUAUCAGACACUGUUAGUUAGGCCCAGACAGAACAACUUGGGCUGGCCGGGCUGAAGGGAACGUGGAGGUCAGAUCGUCAGGUUUUUAUUUAUUUAUUUUUUUUGCUAAAGAAGAAAGAUCUUUAGGAUUUGAUUUGGAGAAAAUUAUUUCCUUUGGCCCUAAAAAAGUGUUUUUUUUCUCAAACUUCUUUAUUUGAUCCUAAAACUUAUUUCCUUCGGUCUCUUAGCCCUUUUGGUGUUAAGUUGUACGCGGAAUAACUCUUUCACCCUCGUCGCCGAAGGCUCACAGAUCUUUCAAGCUGUCUCUUCUGUGAAAUAAUUUCCUAAACUAAGGUACAAUAUUUUUUUGAAGCAUGGCAUCAUUAUUUUUUCAAUAAUUAUUUUUUUUUCAAGCCAGGGGUCCCGGUGAUGUUGGGCCUAUGAGAUGUUGGGCCGUGUUAGCCGGCAACUCUGGUACAAAUACACAAAAUGCGCUUUUUUGUCUAAUAAAUAUGCCACAUCGCCAAGUGAAGAGAAGAUGCGUCUCCUCACAUCAUACAUAAUAAUACAACAUGUUCGUGAAUAUCCAAUCCAAAAGCAAAAGCAAAUUGUGUUCAGUGGAGCUCGGGACACGGAAAUAUUUUUUUUCUGCUAGUUAUUUGUUUUAUUUUGAAUAUAAAAAUCUUAAAUUAAAUAAAUUAAAUUAAGUUAAGUUUUAAACCACUGGUUGAUUGUUUUUCUUUUCAGCCAAAAAAAAAAUUAUGGGCAGACUAACAGUUUAUUGGGCCAAGAUGAAAAACUAAGCAAGGCAUGCAAAAAGCAACCGCAAGAAUCUAGACAAUAUAUACUGACAAUACGAACUAACCAAGUACGCAUAGAUAUACGUGCACAUACAAUAAGAGCGGAUCCACAUACGAUAAGAGCAGUCCACUAAUGAGUAGGAAACGUAACAUGCACUAAUAUAGGAACCAACAACAGCAACUAGCAGUCCACUACUCAGCAAGCCUCACUAAUAUAGUAAUAUAUAUACUACUAGUCCACUCGAUCUACUACUCAGCAAGCCUAUGUACAUACGACUGGAUGCUGGAGAUAUACUAUGUACAAACUGCAUGCUGAUAUACUAGUAGUCCACACUACUCAGCAAAGGCAUAUAUACUACCAGAGCAAAUAUAUAAGGAGGGCCGAGUAUAGAAGAUAUGCAUGAAGAUUACACUUGGCUUAAGUUCCAUCACUUAAAAAUAACUAACUUUGCAUGUACUCUUAAAGAAAAUUUCAGGAGUUAGGGGGGGCCAUGGCCCCUGCUAGCCCCCUGGUUCCGUCACUGCCCACGUCCAGGGCUGCCCCCUCCACCACGUCCUGCGGCAGCCCCUUGUAGGGACGAAGGAGAGGCCAGCAGCAGGAGGAGCUCGUAGAGGUCCUGCAUCGUCCACUCCAGCUCCUGCAGUGUGGCAGAUCGAGACCAGCAGCUAAUCAGAUCAGAGGAAAAGUUCGUUUGAGCAUGGAUUGAAAACCCUAGACGAGCCGAUCAAGAUGAUGAAAAGUUGCCCUAACCCAAAACACGGAUCGAAAAGUUCCCAGACGAUCGAGCAGAUGAAAAAGAAGUCCUAGAGGAGAGGAGCCCUAAUCCGGAUUGAAAACCCCAAACCACGAUGAGCAAGUUGAGCAAAUCCCUUCCCCAAAUCAGAAACCCCAAACCACGACGAUCGAGUAAGUUCCCAGACAAUCGAUACCUCCCAAACCAGAAAGCAGAUCAGACCCAACGAGAAAGCAGGCGAGAAAACCUCAACGUCGUCGUCGUCGCCGUGGCCCAGCGCGACGCCGCCGCCGCAACAUCGACGUCGUCGCCGUCGUCUCCGACUCUCCGUGGCCCGCCGCGACGCCGUUUGAAAGCCCUAGUUUGGUUUUGGAUAAUUGAUGAAACCCUAGUACUAACCUCUAUACUAAGUGUGUGUAGACUUAAUGAGGUUGGUACAUACCAUGUGAUGGAGCAAGUAAUGAUCAUGGUGAUGAUGGUGAUGACCACAAGAUGAUCAAGUGCUCAACUUGGAAAAGAAGAAAGAGAAAAACAAAACCCUUUGGAGAUCAAGGCAAAGGUAUUGCUUAGGGUUUUGGUUUUGGUGAUCAAGACACCAUAGAGGGUGUGAUCACAUUUAGGAUAGAUAGCCGUACUAUAAAGAGGGGAAUUCUUUGGCUAAGCGGUUAUCAAGUGCCACUAGGUGUCAUUGUUCAUGUGCAUGCAUUUAGAACCUAGUGAGCUAACUUAACUCCUUCAAAGAAAAUGAUUGUGAAAAUGCUAACACACGUGCACGCUCGUUUGGUACACACGUUGUGGUGUUGGCACACUUUGAUAAGGAGGUGGAGUUUCAAGAGUAGAGAGGGGAUGGGUUCCUCUCUCCCUCCCGCCGAGCUUGCGAGGCGGGAUUCGGCGCUUUUCGAGAAAAUGAAGUGCAUAUUUUCUAUUGCGCCGGUGGGAAAUUUGGAGAAGUCGCGGGAGUGUUUCUCGCUGAGAAAACACUCACCGGACGCUGGCUCAGAGGCACCGGACGCUGUGUCUGAGCGUCCGGUGUGCAGGCUGCCUGACUCGGUUAGGGUUAGGCACCGGACGAUAGGCACCGGACGCUGGCUUGAGCGUCCGGUGGUUAGCGUCCGGUGUGCGGGCGUUUUGCGACCCUCUCUGCGCAUGGGUCCGGUGAGCACCGGACGCUGAGGGUGCGUCCGGUGGCUCGCGUCCGGUGAACAUGCAAGUUUGCGGAGCUCUCUGCGCAUGAGUCCGGUGUGCACCGGACCGUCCGGUGCUCACUUGCUCAGCGUCCGGUGCAUUGCAGGUGACCGUUAGAUUCUGACACGAGCGUGACACGUGGCUGACGUUGGAGCACCGGACGCUGGUGUUGAGCGUCCGGUGCCCCUUUAAGAGCGUCCGGUGACCCCGUAUUUCGCCCAGUGAAAGAGCCAACGGCUCUAUUUGUUUGAGGGGCUAUAAAUACGUGUUUGGCUGGCUUGGGGCCAAAAAAAACCCUUGGCAUUCUAGCAUACUUGACAUCCUUGUGAGCCUAAGCAAACACCUCCCACUCAUCUCCUUCAUAGAUUAAACAUCUUUGUGAGAUUGGGAGUGAUUCCAAGUGCAUUUGCUUGAGUGAUUGCAUCUAGUGGCACUUGGGGAUCGUUCAAGCUGCGGUUUUCUUGUUACUCUUGGUGGUUGCCGCCACCUAGACGGCUUGGAGCAGCGGAGGAGCAUUGGCACGAGUUGGUGAUUGUUCGUGGCCAUCUCCCGGUGAUUGUGAGGGGUCUUGUACCUUCCCCGGCGGAGAGCCGAAAGGUAACUCUAGUGGAUUGCUCGUGUCAUUGAGUUACCUCACUUGUGGGUAGGUUCUUGUGGUGUCCUAGUGAGGACGAGGUUCGUGCUACACCUCUUAGCCACCGAACCACCAAGUGUUGGUCGACACAACGGGGACGUAGCGUGCCGGCAAGCACGUGAACCUCGGGAGAAAAAUUGUGUGUCUCCAUUGUGAUUGUUCAUUGGAUUUCUUCCGGUGAUUGGACUUCAUAUUAUUGAUUGGUUCAUCCCCCCUGCGCGGCGGUAUAAAGUUCAAACCAUCUCUUUUACAUUCCCGCAAACUAGAGUAGCUUACUUACUUGUAUAGAAACUUUAGGUAGCUUUCUAGUGUAAGUAGUGACAUAGCUCUUGUGUGCCUAGUGAUUAUAUCAACUAGAAUUGUUGGAUAGGUGGCUUGCAAACACCCCAUUAGAGCUAGAGCAAAAAGCUUCGCUUUGUUAUUUACUAACCUCUUGCUCUAGUGGGUUUGUAGAAUUUUUAAUAGGCUAUUCACCCCCCCUCUAGCCAUAUUAGGACCUUUCACCGUUCCCUCCGUGGCCCAGUGCGACGCCGCCGCCGCCGCUGCCAACCUCGACGUCGUCCUCUCCGUGGUGCCCUCCGUGGCCCAGCGCGCCGCCGCCGCCAACCUCGACGUCGUCGUCUCCGUGGCCCGGCGCGACGGCGCCGCCGUGCCCUCCGUGGCCCAGCCCGCCGCCGCCAGCCGCCGCCAUGUAGUGUGCGGCCGCGGCGAGGUGGAGGUGCGCUGAGGCAGCGGCGAGGUGGCGGCGCUCGCGCUCCAUAUGGCCUUUCACUCUUUGCUAGGGACGAAGCCAAAAAAAAUUGUAGGAGGGGCUGAACAAAAUUGCUACAUCGACUUAACUUUUUACUAUAACCCCUCACAAUAGAAAAAAUAUAUAUUAGCUUUAAGUAGUCUUAUAUUAAUUUAUAAAAUAUAUCUAAAAAUAAAGUCUCAGCCCAUCCUUCUUUAUAAAUUUGUGUCUAAAAUUAGAAGCAAAAAUAUUAUGAGCUCCACUAAAUCAGCAUCGGUAGGGGGGGCUAGAGCCCCCUAGCCCCACCGCUAGCUUCGUCCAUACUCUCUGCCUCUCUGGUCUCUCUGCUCGCCGAGCCGAGCCGAGACUGCUGGUUGGAUCCAUGUGGUGGUUCGCUCUUUGCUCGCUUUCCGUAUUUGUAUCGCCGCGCCGCGCCGGGGGAGUGAGGGGGAAUACGUGUCUGUCUCUCUCUCUCUCUCUCUCGCGUCACCCGACGACUAGGAGAUUCCUCCCUUGGCACAGCCAGCACAGCACAGCACAACGUCUCCACUUGAGCUUUCAAUGUUGGUGAGCCAAUCACCAAUAAUAUAUGCCUUGCCAUUCUUCUUGUGGUACUCCUUCUUCUUUCCACCUUUCUUCUUGAGUCAUCUUGCUCCUUGUUCUUCUUCUUGUACUUAUCCUUCUUGGGUUUAGGACAUUGAUGAGCAAGAUGACCAAGUUCGCCACAAUUGUAGCAAUCCAUCUCGGAGAUAGGCUUUCUCUUGCUACUUAUAAAGAACUUCUUCUUCUUCUUGGAGUCGAAGUUGACUCCAUUCUUGUUGAGCUUCUUAAGCAUCCUCGUGGUUCUUCUCACCAUGAGAGUGAUGGUGGCGUCAUCAUCACUUGAAGUUGAUGAUUUAACUUCAAUCUUCUUGGACAUGCCCUUGUGAGAGGCCUUGAGAGCCAAGUCCUUCUUCUCUUUCUUGGACAAUGAGGAGCUAUCUUGGGGGUUGAUGUGCAUGUACAUCUCAUGAGCGUUGAUCUUCCCUAAGAUGGAUGUCGGUGUGGCAGUUGAGAGAUCUCCUUGGUGAAGCACGGCGACUAUGUGUCCAUAUUUCUCAAUGGAGAGAACACAUAGUAUCUUCCUUGCCACAUCGGCCGGACUCAUUUGGUUGAGUCCAAGUCCAUUUAGCUCCUCUAUAAUGACAUUCAAGCGAGAAUACAUUUCAUUAGCAUUUUCUUUUGGAAGCAUCUCAGAUAUAUUAAGCUUGUGCAUAACAAGAUGAAAGUGCUGCUCACGCUCACUCAUGGAUCCCUCAUGGAGCGCACAAAGUUCUGUCCAUAGUUCAUGGGUGCUCUUGUGGUUUCGGACACGGUUGAACACCUCUUUGCAAAGACCUCUAAAGAUGUGGUUUUUGGCCUUUGUAUUCCACUUUUUGUUUUCUUGCUCUAGUGGAGUAAGAGCGGUGUCCUUAGCCGGAGGAUUAAAUCCUUCGGUAGCGGCUUUUAGGCACUUGACAUCGCAAGCUUUGAGGUAUGACUCCAUCCGUAUUUUUCAAUAUGGAAAGUCAUCACCCUCGAGCAUAGGUGGCGGUCCAUCCCCGUGAGACAUCUUUCUCUAGGUGGUGACGCCUAAUUUAUGAGCACUAGGCUCCAAUACCAAUUGAAAGGAUCAAGAUGCCCGAGAGGGGGGUUGAACUGGACUUCUCUAAAUAAUUAAGCAACCUAUAAGCUCUAAUUCAAUCCUUGUGCCUAAGUGUGUUCUAGAGAGCUACCGAAUAAAUGUUUUGCAACCUAGUUCCAAUCCUAUUCUAGCAUGACAAUUCUAGAAAUGUAAAGUACUCAAAGUAAAUGCUAGAAUAUAAAGGAUGAGAGCAAGAAAGACGCGGUGAUGUUUUGCCAAGGUAUCGGAGAUUCGUCACUCUCCACUAGUCCUCGUUGGAGCACCGACGCAAGGGCCUUGCUCCCCUUGGUCCGCGCAAGGACCAAGUGCUCUCUACGGGCUGAUUCUUCGACACUCCGUCGCGGUGAAUUGCCCAAAACCGCUCACAAGCUUAACACGAGCCACCCACAAAAACUCUAGGCGAUCUUCAUGCCUCCAAUCAUCACCGAACCGUCUAGGUGAUGGCGAUCACCAAGAGUAAUAAGCAAAGAACUCACUUCACCCAAAAAAGGCAAUAGAGAGUGGUGGAUGCAUAUUUGAACUCUUGAAACUCAUUAGAGAAGGAUUCGCUCAAGAAAUCACUCAGAUCUCAAUUCUCUCUAGGCUCUUGCUUCUCUCUUGCACCACAAGGUGAUUCUCAACUGAUCGAAUGGGCAAGAGACCUCCUAUGGACGAGGUGAAGGAGUAUAAAUACUCUCCAUUAAGUCCAAGGAUCGGCCACUCGAAUUCCACAGAAAACAAGUGCACCGGACGCGCUUGAUGUUGCACCAGACGCACUCUCUAGAGGGUCCGGUUCUACAUUAACGGCUAGUUGUACUUGAAAACCUACCUCACACUGGAUGCACCCGACGAUGGUCCGAUGUCCCACCCACAGCUCGUCCGGUGAGAAACCGAUUUGCAAACCUCUCUAGGUAAGGGACCGGACGCACUCCGUAAUGUCCGGUGUUUUUUAGCCCAAAUUUGAAACAUAUUUUAAAUUUGACCCGCUUUUAAAAAUAUUUUCAAAACUAGGCUGUUUGGACCCGCCACCAUGCAUCGCGGGGCAAAUGCACAGAACCCCGCCAUGCAUGGCGGCGGGGUACUACUGCUGACGUGGCAUGGUUCAGGGGGACACCUACUGACGUGGCUAACACGUGGCGAGGUACGUGGCAAAGAGUACCCCGCCACGCAUCAUGGCGGGAGGCAACCCCGCGCAUCAUGGCGGGGUGCUCCCUGUCUGACAAAAUGGCCCACCCUCUACUUUCUUUGUGUUCUCUGGUGGCACUUUCAUUCAUUUGUGGUAAUUAUUGUCUGUAAAUUGCACUAAUUAUACAGUUUGCCUUUAAAUCAUGAGACAAAUCUUUUAAGCCUAGUUGCUUUAUAAUUAGAUAUUUUUUAUUAAAUAAAAACAAAAUUACUACAGUGUUAAAAUCUAAAAAGUUUUUGGAUCUAAACAAGGUCAGGCUAUAGUGUGUAUGCGUGGAGAGAGAGAGAGAGGGGUCAGGCUUGCCCAUCAAGCUGACGUGAGAGGCAAAGUGACAGUAGUAUAGGGUGUUGAGCCUUAUUUAGUUUUCAAAAGAUUUUGUAAAAUUUUUCAGAUUUCCCGUCACAUCAAAUCUUUAGACGUAUAUUUUUAACUUCAAAAAAAUUUAUUCAAAAAUUAGGUUUAAAUAUCUAUCUAUUGAUUCUAAUUUUAUAUUAUAAAUAUUAAUAUUUUUAAUAAAUAUUUAAUCAAAGUUAUUUUUUAGAAAAAAAAUAACAAACAUUUAGGAACGGGAGUGAUGCGGUGAAGUGGACCUAUUUGGCCCACUAACACCUUGACAGCUUUGACUUAUGUGACCUUAUCUUCUACUUCUUCCCUCCCUCAAAUUCUCUCCUCGUACAAGCUGUCAUCGCCGGUCUCUAGCACCGCUACUGCCGAGCCUCCUAUGUCGUGUCUCGUCCAGCCACCUGCGUUGUGUGCCUCCUAGCCACCACACCAUUGUCGCAUGCCAUGCCUACCUCCAGUGGUGCCCGUCGCCAUAGCGACCAGCGCUUUUCUGAUGGUUUAAGCCAUCAAGGAAUAGUUGCUGAUGGUUUUCCGUCAGAGAAGGUUCACUUUCCCUGUCAAUCCUGAUGGCUUAACUCUGACGGUUAAUAGUCUUUUCUGACAGUUUUUGCCGUUUUCCUUGACGGUUAUGGCCAUCAUGAAAAAAAUGGCUGGGGGUAGUGACGUCAUUCCCCAGGAUGGCACAUAGGAGAGGAGGGUAAAGUAAAUUGGUGAUUGCAGUGGUACAUAGGGAAUUAAUCGUAGUCUUCCGAUAUGGUACACAUAUUGGUAGUUUGGUACUGAGAUUUUUUUCCUGUAUAAUAAUAAGGUUGUUUUUUUUAAUUCCUAGACCCUCUCGAUUUUAAACGUGGUGCUUCUAUUAUUAUGUAAAAUAUUGAUCUGUCGUGCCAUGUCACGUACUACUAUAGUGCUAUUUUACAAUCUUGGUUAGUUUAACCCGACACUCACUAAAUCAACAAAUUGCAUACUAGUACUCCAUCUCUCUCUCUCUCUCUCUCUCUCUCUCGUUAAGAUUUGUAAAUUGUUUUGACUUUUCUAAAUAUAUAUAGUUUGUACAUAUAUCUAGACUUAGCUUAUAUUAUAUCUAGAUGUUUAGCAAAUAUUAUGUAUCUAUAAAAAAAAUAAAAUAAAUUAUAAUUUAGAACAGAGAAAGUACAAUUUAUAUUUAUAUUAGACAUGGGUUAAUGAGCCGCAUGCAGCUCAGAUCUUUUCCUCAAGGUCUUCGACAAAGGAAAAUUUUCCUAAAUCAUUCCUUUCAUGUAUUGUUUUUAUUUUGUUGUUUUAUAUGCAUCAAACAAUAAGUAAAGAUGGAAAUUUUCUGAUCUCUUCAUUAUUUCUCUAUCACUUAUAAAACAAAUACUCCCUCCGUCUACAAAACGUGUAACUAUAAGAUUUAUGCAAGUCAAACUAGCUUAUGAUGAAUAAUAUUACCCCUUUCAUGUCUCUAACUAAGUUUUUGUAAUUAAUUUAAUGGUACUCAUAUCAAAAAUAUUAGUAUUUUUUUAAUAUAACUUAAUCUCGAAUUGCGUCCUUUUUGUUGAUGGAGGUAGUACUCAUUGAGAUCGACUAAGGCCUUGUUUAGUUCACCCAAAAACUAAAAACUUUUCAAGAUUUUCCGUUACAUUGAGUCUUGCAGCACAUGUAUGGGGCAUUAAAUAUACAUGAAAACAAAAACUAAUUGCACAUUUGCUCGUAAUUGCGAGACCAAUCUUUUAAGCUCAGUUACUUUAUGAUUGAACAAUGUUUGUCAAAUAAAAACGAAAGUUUUAUAAUGUCAAAAUUCAAAAAAAAAAUGUAAACAAGGCCUAAGCAUCAUUGCAUCAACCAAUUCAACUUUAAGCUCUUCCAGGUCCUCGGAGGGCGUGUAUGGGAGGUCGAGCGCCAACUGUCCGGCGGGUAGAGUUAGGCCUUGUUCAGUUCACCUUGAAAAUCAAAAAGUUUUCAAGAUUUCCCAUCACAUCGAAUUCUUAUGGUAAAAUAUUAAAUAUAGACGAAAACAAAAACUAAUUACACAGUUUAGCUGUAAAUCACGAGACGAAUCUUUUGAUCCUAGUUAAUCCGUGAUUGGAUAAUAUUUGUCACAAAUAAACGAAAGUGCUACAGUAUAAAACUUUUCACUUUUCGGAACUAAACAAGGCCUUAGGGUUCCGCUUAGCCUCCUCAUGGAUAGACGGGGGAUCGGUGUCAGCAAGAGAACAGGAAAGAAACUGAAUAAACAAAAAUAAAACAAGGUAACAUGAGGUGAUCUUCAUGGCGAAGGAGUAUAGAGACUCCUACUCUUUUUUUUUUGACAACACAGGAAGGCUCAAAGCAGGGCUGUUGAAGUACAUUUGUAGAGAGAAACUGCUAGAAAGCCACUGACAGUCUGACUGCAUAAACAAGGGGCAAAAGGGAGAUUUCACCUGUUCAUAUUAUUCUGCUAGCGAGCGUUUUGAAGGUGUGCUGAAUUCGCUGUUCAUUUCUGUAGAAAUCAACAGGACAAGUUCGUUUGCAGGCAUCUCUCACGGCCAAAAGGGAAAAGAUAAAUAAAACCACCCAAAUCGCCUCUUUGUAGCUCGAAGUACAAGGAUGAGAACUGGAAAACAAUGAGACUGAAGAUUACGGUCUGAAAUUUUACAUGCGAAAAAUUUACGGACGAGGGAAUAACAGUUGCCACUGUCAUGGCUGCCAACUAGGCUACUACCAUUUACAUCUUAGACCUUAGUACCUUACUUUUACUUCAGGUAACAAAAAAAAAGAACCCGACAUACUAGAUCAGUUCAGUAACAAUUAUUUACCUACUAGGACGACACGAAUUUUAACCAAAAACAAAGUUACUGCAUCUUCUCCAGAUUAAUUAACCUUAACCAGCUUGGGUGACUAAACUGAGAGCAGAGUCGUCACGGUCAGUCGUCGAUGGCCUUGGCCCUCAUGCAGCAGGAGGGCCCGCGGGCCUUCUGCUUGGGCCGCCGGCUGUCGCGCCGCCGGCCGUAGAGGUACUCCACCAGCUGCACCCGUGACCGCCGCUGCACCUGCACGGUGGUGGCCACCGCUGCCUUGGCCGCUCGCCGCGCCGCGCGCUCCUCCUCGUGCCGCAGCAGCGCGUGCUGGAACCGCUGCAGCUCCAGCUCCAGGCGCCCGGCCUUCUCCGACAUCUUGCGCACGCGCUCCAGGAUCUUGCGCUGGCUCCGGCUGCGCAGGUCCACGUCGCCGCCGCCGUCGCCACCCGCCGACGUGAACUCCUCCGCCUUCUUCAGCAGCUUUGUGUUCGCGUCGAUCAGCUCCGCGAUGGCGUCCUCCGCGUCGGCCAUCUGGGACUUCACGCUGUCCAGCUCCGCGUCCGACGACUCCUCCACGCCGGCGCGCAGCUCCUGGACGAUGGACCGGAGGUCACGGAGCCGCUGUGCCUCGGAGGAGAGCCGGUCGAUCACCUUCUUCUUCCACUCCCUGUGUGGCUCCGUCGUCGUGGCCGUUGCAGCUGCUGCCACCACCAUGGGCCGUGACAGGACCUCCUGCUUGUCCACGCUGAGGUCCUUCACGGUCACCACUGGCUCGGAGGACGAUCGCUUCUUUGCCUUGUCGUUCUCAGCUGCCUCGCUUUGUGGCGGUCGGAGGUCCACAUCGUACCGCCGGCUGCCGCUGCUCACCCUGUCCACGCUCCACAGUGCGAGCAUCUUGUCGUCAGACUGCGCCGCCGCCGCCGCCACUGAGUUCUUCUUCCUGUGGCGCCCGUGUGAGACGGCAGCUCGCCGGCUAGGUGUCUGGACGAGGUCCAGCUGGAUGUCCUUCAUCAUCCGCUCGUAGUUCACGUCGCUGGCGUCGCUGUCCAGGAUCUCCUUCAGCUUCAGCAUCUCGAUCUGCUUCCUUGCGUCCUGGAGGUUGCUGUUGAAGUCGAGCCUCUCUUGCUCCAGGACCACCCCGGUAUCUGACACCACCUUCUGAAGUGCCUUGAUGGUUCCGUGGAGUUUCUGCAGUUCCAUGUCCUUCACCAUCUUUGUGGUGUUUUGAUCUUCGCUUGGCCUCACAGCAAUCUUUGACAGCUGAGGUGAUAAUGGGUUCUCCUGGCAAAAACAAUAAGCAGAAUGAGUCUCAUGAAUAAGAAAAAAUACCAAUACCAGAGAUUCCUGAAUAAUCACAUAACAGAAUAUGUAUACCUCCUUGAGCAUGCUUGGUGGCAGGCAAUCCUUGGCCAGAGACAAGGUUUGUUUCUCUAGGGCAUCAACUUCAGUUUGCAAUGCUCCGAGCAGUGUGAAGUCGCCAUUCAGAUCAACCUUCAGCCUUCUGUUCUCAAUCUCAAUGGCAUUAAGCUUGUCCUUGAGCUCAUCCACGUAAGAGUUUCUCCGGGUGAUCUCCUCUUUCAGCACCUCCUUCUGCACCAUGUCACUGAUCUCAAAACUCUCGCAUGUCACGAUGAGCUCAAGCACCUUCUCCUUGAAGAGAGAUGCAUUGGCUGUGGCCAGUUGCAUGUUGGCCAGCAGUUUAGUGAUCUCUGCGUCACAAGAUUUCACAUCAAUCACAGGCUGUUCCUUGCUCCUAAGCACUUGCAGUUCAUUUUUCAAUUUCUGGAGCUCCUCUCUAAGCAUUUCAUUUGAUUUCUCGAGACCAGCAUUGUCAACUUCUUUUCGCUGUUCCAUGUUCUGGACACUCUCUUGGCUUUUCCUUCCAGAUUUUAAUAGCUUUGUAUCUCUCCUCAUAGCACGCCUUCUUCCAGAGGAAACUUCUGUACCAGAGCCGUCACAGAUGCUUAGAGUUCUACUGAGUUCCUUCUCAAGAUAGUUGUUCUCAAGCUGUAGAUCUCCGAGCUUCUUGUUCAUCAGCUUGAUUUCCUGAUAAAGCUCAUUGCCUGCUGCAUGUAGAGACCCAAAAUCCUCAUGCAAACACUGCAAUUGUGCUGUCCUCUCUUCAUGAAGGCUUCUAAAAAUGACACCAAGGAUAUCUGUCCUGACCGCCUCACCAAUAAGUGUGCUGAAAUCAUCAUCAAAUGACUUCUCUUUCUCUCUGGAGCCAUAAACUUUGCUAGAGAGUGAAGUGUUCUCUUCAAUCAGCUUGACAAUCUCUGCUUGCAACGAUUGCCGUGACUCUUGCAAUUCCGACAGUUGUCGAACCAAGAACUUUGCCUCAGAUUUCAGUUCAUCCACUUUGCGGUUACGAGCCUCCAUUUCCUUCCGUAGCUCACAGCUGAUCUUUAGGAGGUCAUGCCUUUCACUCUGCAGCUGCAGCAGCUCCUCACUCUUUGUUUGCCACUCUUGCUUCAGAACACUCCUUUCUGACCUCAGGUCAGCCACCUCGCGCCCAAAGUGCUCAAGAAGCGUGACAACAAGGGACUUCUCAAGGAUCUGGUUCUGCUUCACAUCCUGGGCAUCAGAAAUAGUAUUCAGCAGGCACUUGAUCUCAUGCAAGAGGAGCUGCACAACAACAUCAACCUUCAUUAGAUCCAAUGACCCGUAUUUCUCAUCCAGAUUCAGUACUUCCACUACAGAACCUAUCCCUUCAGUCAGCUGCUGGUUGUUCUGUGACAAGAAAUCAACUUUCUCCUCUUGAUCCUUGCAUACCACUUGUUGCUUCUGCAAUCGUGACAAGGCAUCAACAUUUGCUUCAGCCAUGUCACCUAAGCACCUCUGUAAGAUAAAAAUCUCAGUCUGAGCUUCAACAAUCUUGUGCUCCUCCUCUUGAAGCUGGUCCUCCCUGCGGUGAACCUCUUUUAGCAGUAGACCUAUCUGCUUCUGCAUAGCACUGAAUUGAGUCAUGUCUGAGUUGGUGGCUUCUUUGUGUUUUUCUUUUUCUAGUCUCAACAGCUCUCGUAAUCUAAUCACUUCAUUGAGGGCCCUGUCUUUGUCUUGCUCAAGAUCCAAAUAUCGCCCUUCUAACUCUGCAUAUUGGGUUUCCAAACUGAGUAGAGCACUAUUGAUGCUAUCCACCUGACAACAUGAAUGUAUCCAGGGAUCAAUUUACACAAAAUUUAAACUAGGAUGAAAAUAAACAGAAAGCAAGAGAUUCAAGCAUCAUACCUCACGCAUCAGAGUUCUCUUUUCAGAUCGAAGUACAGAAUUCUGGUUGCGGAAUGUGUGAGUAGAUUCCUCUGAAUCUUUCAGCUUCCUUCUAAGCAACUCCAGCUCAGUAUUGUUAUCAGAUAACAAAUUUUCCAAGAAGACAUUCUUCUCUGAUAUCUUCUCCAUGGUAUGAGAAAUUCCCUCAAUCCGUGCAACAAACAUGGCUCUCUCAGACUGAUGGCCAUUAACCUUGGAAUGAAGGUGUUUGCAUGAUUCUUCCAAUGCAGCCUUCUUCUCCCGCAAGCCUUCAAUUUCAGUAGUUGCAGCUGAAAGUGAUCUCUCCAAAUGAGCAUUUUUCUCCAGCGUCCUCUCCAGCAGCAUCAGAUUAUCAACGUACAAGGCUUUUACACCCUCAUGAUUUUUUAUGGUCUCUUUUAGCUCAACAUUUCCGUCCCUCACCUCUUGAGCAAGUGAUUGGAGUGAUUCUACAUUGAAAUUCACCUCUUGUAUUUGCUCCUUGAUCGAAAAGUGCUUCCUGUCCAAGUCACCCUUGUUAUCUUUGAGGUGCGAAAGCUCAUGCUGAAGCACCUUUUUCUCCUCCAUGUGCCGAGACACCUCUUCUUCAAGACACCGCUGUGCAUUCUUCAAAGAAAUUAUCUCAUCUUGAAGACGAAUUAUCACAGAGGUAGAGGAAUGGUUUUGAUCAUCCAAUUUCCGGUUCUCUUCUCGAAUACUUUCCAAUUCCUUUUGAAGUUGAACUCUGGUUGCUUCAAUAUUCUCAAUCUUACUUGCUUCCCCAUGCUUUUCAAGAGACAUAAGUCUUAGCUUCUCCUGUGCUUGUGCCAAUUGCUUCUCCACAGAUAGCCGGGCCAUUUCUGCUUGCAUGCUCUUGAGUUGCUCUUCUUGUAUAGAGAUGCUAAGCUUCUCCAACUCAAUGUGCUUCUCAUUUAGCUCGUCAUGCUUCUCUUUUGAGGCAAGCUUCAGCUUAUCUAGCUCCAGAAGCAAAUUUUGGUUAGCCCUCUCAAGCAGAAGGCACCGCUCCUCUGCAGUGCUCAAAUUCUGUAGCCCAUUUUGCAUCUCCUCUUUCAGUCUAUUGAACUCCUCCUGGGUAUGCAAUAUUUCAGACUUGAGGCUCUGUAAUCGAUCACUGGAUUGCUGGCAUUGUGAAAAUGCAGCUUCCUUCUCUGCUUCUUGUUCUGCAAGGGCCUCCUUGAGAGAAAGAACUUCAGAUUCAGCCAUAUUGCUCUUUUCUAACACUGAUGAAAUUUUCUUCUUCAGUUCUUGAUUUUCCUGUGACAAACUUGAUAUCUCUUUCUGCAGCUUCUCAUGGUCCUGGUCAUCUGAAAUACUAAUAUAUUAGGUUGAUCUGCCAUUUAUUAGGAUAUCGCAAUUGCUGAGGAAUUAAAUUUCAUAGGCAUACCUUUAGUACGUUUUUUUGAAUCACCACCAGCCUUGAUGAAUGAAAGGAAAAAUGGAGUCAUAUCACGAUUGUCGGUUUCAGUUUCAGUAGAUGCAGUUUCUGUAGGCAGGUCAUCAUCAAAGUCCAACUGAAACUCAUCGGGAAAUGCUUCUGCCAUUUUUUUAUGGGCCUGUCGGAGUUCUCCAGCUGCAUGAUCAUAUCUUUCAGCUAAAGCUCGAUAAGCACGGUACAACUCCUCAAGCAAAGACAUCAGCUCUGGGCGCCUUUUGUAAUACAUUUCCGCUCUUCUGGCAAAUGAGUCAGCAUCCUCAUCGAUAAUCUUGAUCAUCACUUUGAUUUUGCUAUCCAUAUCUGUGUGACCACACAUUAACAAACACUGAUUCAGUACAGGGUUUAAUAAAUCCAGCAAAAGAAGAAGUAAACCACCAGAUAAGUGCACAAGAACACCCAGCCACCAAAUAUUAUUGCUUUUAAUGUAGGAAAGUUAGCUCUCAUAGUAUCCAUGAUUUGAAUUUGUUUCAACAGAGUUAGUGGUCCAAUCAUUAUAGAAUAGCUGCAACCCAUGACUGGUACAGAUUUAUGCCACAAGCUAUUUAUGAACUUGUCCCCAACAAAUCUGCUGACUUUUCCACAAGAAGUUUAAUUGAACAAUAAUCAGAAUCAAGGUCAUCCAACUAGAUCUGUAUUUGCGCAUUAAACGUUUAUGUUAUUGCAGUUAAAUUCUUGAAAAUACACAAGACGGUGCUAAGAUAACCUCAGGCUGAAUAGACGCUACAAUAGGUAAUGCAGAAGCUCUUUUUCCUCAAAUUUUGCGACAUGAUGACUCCGAAACUAGAACAGAAACAUAAUGUUGACACUCAAGUACAUAGUGGCAUGUACAUGUUGCUAAUUUGUGGUAUCGACUAGAAUCACUCCAAUUUCUAGACUGAAUGAAAUCACCAUAGUGAACCAACAAAGUUUACCAGUGAGAUUCUCCUGGAGCCAUUUCGAGUUCUUGGGGGAUAUGUGACUAUCCCACCACCAUGAGUACUUGCGCAUUGGAUUGGAUGGCGACAUCGCCAUUGAGGCCAGCUAAGAGAGAACAGCACUCCCUGGCCUCUUAAGAAAACUUCUGUAGCUUCAAAGCUAAUGCAGUAGACCCAAGUAACUAGAGUUGAAUCUGUUCAAAAGCCUAGCACCAACCUACUACCUGCAGAACAUCAUAAACUUUCAAAAUUAGCACCACGCACAAAAGAGCAUUCCUAGAGUUCAGGCACUAGGCCGUAGAACUGAAAAAUGAAAUGUUGGCCUCAUUAUGGCUUGUGCCACGCAAGUUGUUGUCAGCACAGUCCAAGAGGGGAAUAAUAGCAUCAAACAGUGGUCAAAGAUAAAGAUUAGCUACGCGUUCAUGCAAUAAAUUAUUACUACCCCAACAUGGGACGAUAUUGAAACGCAGAAAACAAAUACUCUUCACAAGAUUCUAGUGUUAUGGUUUGACCCUUUGAGGAGAAGCAGUUACUAAAUCCAGAUGGAAAAUAACACCUGAGCAUCCCGAAAAUGUGCAGAAAAUUUGCUCAAGAACAGAAAGAAAAAUAAAACUGCCCAAAUUUUGCUACCACAAAGACCCCAAAGUUAUUGGGGGGAAAUACAUUUCCAAGGGAUGAAUCAGAACCCUACCCUCAAAAACAGCUCGAAUAUUGUACCACCUUGCUACAUGCUACACAAAGGCACAGAAACAAGAUCACUGCAGGAUGGAAGCAACCUCCAUUACUGCGAACAGAGCAUCAAAGAAUGGUUAAAAAAAUGGUAAAGAAAAGGAAAAGGGCAAAGGAGGGCUGUGAAAAGAAGCCUCCCAACUAACGCAAUAAAGAUGAGAGAACGCCCAUGACCCAACCACCCCAGGCCUGAAAUCGCCUUCCCAAAAGGAAGAACACGGGCAGAAAUCCACACCUGCAGGCUGCAGUAAGAGCUGGAUGGAUAUCACAACGCUCGCAAGCAUUUCAUGAACUGGAUGCUGCUGUGGUGGAAACGGGGCUCCAAUGAGAACCAGAACAAAACAAAACAAAAAAAGGGGGACAAUCUUUAUUAGGAGGAAGAGUUCUGAAUCCUACUCAAAAGGCAGGGACAGCAUUAGCUGCUGUCAGCGAGGACGAUAUGAAUAUGGACGCAAGAACCGUAGAAGGAAAGGAAAGCAGAAAUCAAAGCAUUUUCCUACGAUACAGUGGGUUCACGGGGCAAAUCUGUGGGGGCGAAAAGAGGGACGGAAUGGGGUCCAGAAAUUACCAAAAAGGCAGGACGAACUCAUCGCGUUCUCCUUCCUAAAGAACAAGAAGCAAACGGAAAGGAAAAAUCUUGACGCAUUCCCCCCUUUUUUUUUCCCCACCGAAGAGCAGUGGCCAGAACCGAAUCCGUGGCCAAAUUUCUGCAGCAGAACUAAGGGCCAAUGCAGAGAUUAUACGGGCGGGCACAGAUUGGCGGCCCUCUGGUCAAUGACCACGAGGAACACGAGAAUGGCUAACAAUAGCGAAACACGCGCACACGAAACAACGGGUGAAAAUGGCAUCUUUUCAUGCCCAAGAUAAACGCAAUCGCAGAAACGGAUAGAAUGCCAGGGGAUUGCCGUUGUUGCCUAAAUGACUCGACGCAAAUCGAAGAAGAAACGGGCUUACCAUGGAGGACAGCGCAGAGGAGGGGAGGAUCUUGGCCAGUCAGCUGCAACCCCGAGACAGAGAGAUCCAGCUCCGGCUGCUCCUUCCUUCCUCACCCCCCACACUAGCUCGCCCUAAGCCGCCAUCAUUCUCACCACCACAUUAACACCGCACCACCAUCUCGCGGGAGAGGGGGUCCUGGGGAAGGGGAGGGACAGAGAGAGAGAGGCUCUCACUCCUGGACAGAGAAAUGGAGCGGCUGCAAUCAUGGGACGCAGGAGGAGCAGUGUGGUGUGGGGGGAGGAGGAAGGAGGAGUGAUGGGGGUAUUAAUUGUUUAUUUAUUUUUAUUUAUAAUCGGAAAAGUAAAGGACAAAGAUUAAGGCUCAUGGAUUUAAUAUUUUGGGUGUGAGUACACUUUGGCCUUGUUUAGUUUCGAAAAAAUUUUGGAUUUCGCUACGGUAACACUUUUGUUUUUAUUUGAUAAAUAUUAUUCAAUCAUGGGAUCAAAAGAUUCGUCUCGCGAUUUACAGACAAACUGUGUAAUUAGUUUUUGUUUUCGUCUAUAUUUAAUGCUUCAUGUGCCGCAAGAUUCGAUGUGACGAGAAAUCUUGAAAACUUUUUGGAUUUCGUGAUGAACAAAACAACGCCUUUGUUCUGCAUGCAAGAAGAGCAGGUGUGUGAAUCACAAUCACGGUGGGGUUACUGCUGGCUUUGUUUGGGCACAGGGUUGUAUUUUUUUUCAUUUUGUUACUUUCACUCUUUUUACUGGUCCGGGUGGGAUAUGUGCAGUGGAGUUCGGGGGACAAGAACAGUGAUGGUGCAUCAGACACAAAUUUAAAAAUUGUUCGAUGAAUAUUUUCUCGGUUUUAUAUGCAUGCUUGCACGACUGGUCUGGUCAGUGUGAUUUAAUUUGUACUGUGUGGGGCUGGACCAGACACCAGGGAGAUUACUGUGAAUUUAUUUUCUUUCUUUUUUUACCGUUGCGGUUUAUUUGGAAGACCAGCGUGCGUAUCUAUUGUGGGGGUUGUUAACGUUGGGAUUUGCUGCUAUUUCCUUCGGAGAAGAUAAGGAGGAAACGGUCAAAAAAAGAAACGGUAAAAAACAGUUUAAUAUGGAAUGACUGGUAGCAGUAGACCGUGAUUUGUCGGGACUUGUUUAAAAACUUUUCAAGAUUUUCUAUCAUAUAGAAUCUUUCGGUAUUAAAUAUAGAUAAAAAAAUCAUUAAUUAUAUAGUUUAUCUAUAAUUUACGAGAUGAAUUUUUUAAAUCUAAUUAUUCUACAGUUGUAUAAUAAUUAUAUUAAAUACAAACAAAAAUACUAUCGUGUUUAAAUCUAAAAACUUUUUAGAUUUAAACAAGAUCUUUGUAUUUUUUUAACUGUAUUGUCAGAUACUGUAUGGCCUUUGACCUAUUCACGUGCACGAUGCUCUACUUUAUCAACAAAAAAAUCUUAGUCCCGAAGAUAUCAAAUGCUUUUUAUAGAAGAUACUAUCAGCGUUUAUUGCUUGAGGAAAUGAUACUUAUGGAGAACAAAAAUUUACUACUACCUAGCAAAAAUAACUUUCGUAUUUCUAGCGAUAAAAUAUCUUCAGCACCAGUAAAAACAUAUGACCGCAGUUUUAGAGUUUUGUUCUUACCGUCAGUCACAUGUAGAGGACUGCAUAACGCAAGCAAAGUGCGAAAGAUCAAGCUGAUUAGAUUUCUUAUAGUGAAACUUGUUCACCAGGUUCAAGUCCCUGAUUUGGCAUGAAUGUUUGUAUUUUUUUAGAUUUAUUUUAAGAUUUAACGACGCUAUGCUCUUAGUGGUAGACGAUAUAUCCGUCGACAGCAAGGUGUAUGUGGUUACUUCAUCAAUCUCAAGAUUUACUGAUCCAAUUCGGUUCUUUGGAUGUGCUCAUAUGGAUAGAGUGUGCAUGUGUGCGUUCAUAAGGGUGAAUGUGCGCUCGUGUUGUUGUGCAUGCGUGCGUUUAUAGGGAUGAAUAUGCGCUUAUGUUUGUAAGCGUCUACGUCUGUAACUGGGUCUCGAAAAAAAUACAAACAAGGUGUAUUGGUGUAUCUACAUUGCCACUGGCGUAUCCAUGCAUGAGUUAUGAGUACAUAGAUCCCAUACACACAAGGAGCAGUAGUAAUUUACAGCCUGUAGUUAGCCACUGUGGGAGAGAGGAUUGUGCACCAAACCACCAACUCUAAUCAUUGUUUAAAGCAAACAUUUGUUGUGUUUAGCAUGUGGACUAGUGGAAGGCAGGAUGAGAGCUAGGAACCAGGAAGAUGCAUGGUAGAAAAGCCUGGUGGGCCCACUGAACAAUUGUUUAUAAGUGUAUAAACAGGCACACCGGCCAGUUUCAUUGCAGAUUUCCAGUACAUGGGUCGUGCUGUCUUUGUCUUCUUUUCUGCUCACUUGGAACCACAGUUGAUGGUUGCUGUCUGCCUUUAUAUUACCCUUUUUCUUUUCAAUUAAAAAGGCCAGCUUCUAGGCUUUAAAAAAAAUUAGAAGGGGCUUCUAUUCUAUAUACUCCUAGGACAGACUCUCCAACCGCACUGCUAAUAUGAUACUUGAUUGAACAGAGCAUCACGGACCAAUGUCAUGCUCAGCCACUGAUGAGUGUGCAUGAAUAUUCUCAAGGAAUAUGGUCAGCUCAUUUGUUUGUGCAUCCGGCAGUUAUUACUUUGGUUUAUGUAGCUAGUGUGCUAUUUCUCUGCUAAUAAUCAAGAUCACAUUCCUAAUGAAAACUGAUGGAGUUACACCGCCUGUCUAUAUAUGUAACAGUAUAUAUAUACCUCAUUUGGCUCUCACAGAUUUUUAGUCAUUCAGAUCGACCAGACACAGCACCAUUUGAAAUCAGUGUAAUGAUCAUUUAUGAGUACUUAGUUUCUCCAAAUAUAAGCACAUAUGAUUUGUUCUAAGUCAAACCUUUUUUUAACUUCAUAUUUUUCAUAUAGUCCACACAAGAUUGCAUGAUUAGAAUUCAUUAUUAUAAGAAGAAUAUUUUAAAAUUCUUUUAAUACAUAAUUGGUUUAUAUACGUAAUGUAUGCUAAAUAUUUCUAUUCAAAAUUUAAAAUAGAUUUAGAUUUCCAAUUGGUGUAGAAGCUCUAGUGAUUUACCAAUUAGCUAGACAGCUCUCAAAUUUGGACUACAUGCAUGUAUAAUAUUGGACCCUAAAGAUUUGCAAGAUUUUUUAUGAACCGUGUUUGGCUAAUUACCUCCAUAAUGUUAGACUAUGCCACAUGCAUGUAUAUUGCCCCUAAAUCAGGUAUUAAUAUAGAAAACAAGAUUUUUGUGAUACUCAAAAUACUAAAAAAGACAGUUGAGAUGACAGAAGGUUUACAUAUGCAAUGGAAGUCUCCAGUCGAUCUCAUAUGCACAUGUGUCAUGGACAUUGGUGGUGAUUGAUGAGAUUCUAGGUAUGAUAGAGAUACUGUUCACAGAUUCUAUUAUUAAAUUAAAAAAAUCCUGUCCGAACGGUAGGCAUUGUAGGCUAGUGGAAUAUUAUGAGGAGCAAGUUUUAUUUAUCAUCAUCAUAGUUGAUUUUUCGUUAGAUAACUUUAUUAUAAAGCUAAUAAAGGAAAAUAAAAAGGUAUAUUCGUUGCUCAUCAGAAUGAGAGUCGUGUAGAUCAUGGUACUUUGGACCUUUGCAAAUCUCAAAAGUGUGAAAAAAAAUGUAGUAUAUUAGUGCAAAUUGGGUAUGGUAUGAUGAGUGCACGUAGGAGAGUGAUCAGCAAGAGCAUACAUCCUGCAUGGACGCGUGUUAAGUCCAUCUUAAGAGAGAAAAAUAUCGUCGUUGGUUAUUCUGCAAGUAAAAAAAUACCGUGGUGAGUGACAGUCAUAUCAAUUUGUGCUAGCUGCUUCUUCUAGAAUUACAUUUUUUUUCUCAGAAAUAACGUGUUUAUUAUUUAGGAAAACUGGAAAAGCCUACCCUAUAUCGUGACUUUUCACUUGGGACAAAAGAGGAGGGUAAAGAGAUUGCUUGCAAAAGGGACUGUCGGCUUGACCUUGUUGCCUGGAGCUAUUAUUAGCUAGCUAGCGUUUCUUUGGUGCACUGUCAAAAUCCAGACAUUUAUAUUUAUCUCUUUCGAAAGAAGCUUCAUUUUAUAGCAGCCAAUAGAGUUGUUCGCUUUGUGUUUGUACGCUUGCAUAGGUUUUCGUACAGGCACAGUGACCAAUAUAAACUCUCUAAUGCAAGGGAUCCAAGUUUAUUCUAAGUCAAACUAUAUAAAGUUUUUCUAAAAAUAUAGAGAAAGAAUAUUAAUAUCAAUCACAUCAAAGAUGUAAAUUAUGAAAGUAUAUAUUACAUAAUGUACCCAAUGAUACUGAUUUGAUGUAGUAAUUAUUAUUAUUAUUUUCUAUAAUUUUUUAUCAAAAAGUUAAAAUAGUUUGCUUACAAGCUUGGAUUUCUUAUAUUUUAGGAUGAAGGGUGUAUAUCAUCACAUACAUAUUCACAGAUCAUAUGUAUUUCCUCUAUUUUAUAUUACAAGUCAUUAUAGUUUUUUAGUACAUAUCUUUUUCUGUACAACUAAAUAACAUAGCUAAAUAAAUAUACAUUAUGCUUAAAUACAUAGUAAAAUCUAUAUAUCUACCUAGAAAAGUUAGAGUAACUUGUAAUUAAGUUUGUUUUAUAUGAGACCAUUUUUAUUCAUGUUGGUUGGUUGUUCCGACAACAAUGCCAUCUCUAUCUAGACUUCUAUGAGUGUGCUGCUCCAAAUUAAAUAAAUGCACUGCAUUAAACACCGAAUUAAAUCAUCCAUUCAAAAGUGCUAAUCUCUUCGAACUAAAUUAUGCUAGUACUACAAAUUUGAUUGAAGUUUAUGUCAAAUCAUCUUUCUUGUGGUGAUUCAAAUAAAACAUGUUCUCUUAAGUGGAGGCAUUAGUGGGGAAUAGUAGCAUGUGCAAGCUCGCAAGUACAACGGAGAAGAUGAGUCAGAGUGUGGCCCCACACUGAUAUUAAUGGAUACACGUACACUGAAGAGGACCCCCCACACCAAUUGUGCCCUUGACCAUCAUUGAUGCAUAGCUGUUGUUGCUCAGGGGAUCCAUGGAACUCUCUCUCAUCCAUCUCCAAGCUUUAAUGUGGCACCAAACUUUUCCUUCUGGAAUCCUUUAAAGUAAUCACAACAUUGUUCAGACACUUAGCAAUUUUUCCCCAAGAAAAGUACUGUGUAAAUUAGAAAUUCGAUUACUAUACCAAUUAGACAAGAAGAAUUGCAAACAUUUUGAUUUUGGAUAUUCUCCCCAUACAUAAAGUGUUUUGCUGCAAAUGUCCACACACAACUUAGCUCAGUUGCCAAAAGAAACUGCGCACAUGCUCAGCUAAUUCCUAUUUUUCACCAAUAUAGCUAGAGCCUAGAGCAAUCGCAGGCCAAGGUACCAGAGUCACGCCUAUUCAAGUGCUUUGGAUUAGACUUAGACUUAUUUGUUAAGUAAAAAACUACCAAAAAUAGAAAACUUGGUGUGUGACAACAAAAAAGUUCUUGCUGCCAGUGAUUCUUUUGGUAGAACCACAAAUAAACCAGAUGAGAUUAUACUCUAGUAUAUCUAUAUACUCUAGUGAUAAAGACUACAUUGGUGGCUCCAAACUGACGGAAACAAAUUGAGUUAGCUAAGCAUGAAUGCGAUGGGUGGGUUUUGUGACAGAACUUGGUGAGGAUGGAUAUUUGCAACAAAAUGACUUAUAAGAGAAAUUAACAGUUAAAGCAUCUAAAUACCAUGCAAGUCAAUUCGUGCCUUCUAUAUUUUAGGAUCGAAGGAAUUGUUAUGCUGUAAACAACAUUACCUAAAAAUUCAGUCGGGUUAAUUUGAUGGUGGAUUGACCACAAAAUAUCCUCCACAAAUCUUGCAGGGACGACAGCAUGGACGUACACGUACGAGCGAUGAAGAAACAAGCCACGAUUCCUCAAUCGCAUUCAUUCAUACUAUGCAUGAACAAUAAUCUGAUAUAUAUAUAUAUAUAUAUAUAUAUAUAUAUAUAUAUAUAUAUAUAUAUAUAUAUAUAUAUAUAUAUAUAUAUAUAUAUAUAUAUAUAUAUAUAUAUAUCGCGCCUUCUGCCUUCAAGUUACAUUGUAGUACGUACUAUAGUAAACCCUAGCUAGAGCUGACCGUGAUGGAUCCGUAUUUUUGGUUCGAUCCGUUUGACUCGUUUGCUCCUCUCUCUGACGAAUUGUUGACAGCGAAUCUGUGAUUGGACAAGACGACGGCGACGUGACUAGUUUACCCGAAUAAAUUUCGCUUCAGCUGUACUCUGUACGUCAAAAGAAUCCAUGGCUGUGGCCUUGUUCAGUUCGCAAAAUUUUGUGAAAAAUGGCACGGUAGCAUUUUCGUUUUUAUUUGACAAACAUUGUCUAAUUAUAGAGUAACUAGACUCAAAAGAUUCAUCUCGCGGUUUACAGAUGAACUGUAUAAAUAGUUUUUGUUUUCAUGUAUAUUUAAUGUUCCAUAUAUGUGCCGCAAGAUUUGAUGUGACGGAAAAUCUUAAAAAUUUUUGGAACUAAACAAGGCCUGUAGUACCCAUGUCUCAGCUGGAUCAUUGGAGGAAUCCAUGCAGCAUCCAUGUGCCUGGUUAGGUACUAUAGACGACUAGUGGUGAAACUUUGUAUAUAUAGUAAACAUGUAGUAUAUAUACUAGCAUCUUCUGUUCUCUUCCCCUUGGAAUGUUGCUGUCAAUGCAACCAUCAAUUUCUCAUCAAAUUAAUUAUAUAUGAUCGAGGACGUUUUCAGUUUCGAUUUAGGGAUAUUUCAAUGGAUAGAUUCGGUUAGCUAGCUAGCUAGAAUUUAAUUAGAAAGAUUCACCUAAUCCGAUCGCGUUUUGUGUGUUUGUUCAUUGGGGCAUUAAAGGUGGUGAUUGCUAAUCAGGAACAAGUUUGUUGUACAAAUACUCCUUUUGUCUCAAAACAAGUGACUUUUUUUUACUUUCAGAUAUAUAUCUUAUUUGACCAUUUGUCUUAUUCAAAAAAAUUAUAUAAACAUUAUCGAUUUUGUUAUGAAUUAUUUCAUUACUAACGAUAUUUUAAUAAUAAUUUAUAUAAAAAUUAAAUAAGACAAACUGUCAAACGAGAUAUCUAAAAGUAAAGAAAUCACUUCUUUUAAAACAGGAGUACAUGUUAAACAACAACAACAGCAGCAGCAGCAGCAGCAACAGGGCAUGAAUAUAUACAGUCAUUUUUAUUGGUCAUUUGGAUACUCCCUAUUGCAGCCACUUUACAAUAUAUAGUGUGUGAAGCACAAUUAGUGCAACCGCGUGCCAUGUGAUGCGAGCAAGCAACAGAAAGCGAUGGAUCUUGCUUUCGUCGAUUGGCCAGCCUCUACAUACUGAUCAUCGACGAUGAUCUCUCUCGCAACUCGCAUGCGUGCUCAUCUUUAAUUAGCCUUGCCUUUGCUUUGCUAGUAGUGAAUUGUGAUCUCUCGCGGAUCGGACGACCCAACACGCGCCUUUUUCCGGAUGCAUGAGAUCGAUGUGCACAUGAAGAGCCACUGUUCCCAGACGUCUACAAAUUACAAACUGACGAGUCUAGCUCCCUAACGUAACAACCAGAGGGCCGGGGUCGUCACUGACAAGCAGACAACAUCUGCCACGUAUCACUGAUGCUACGUUAACUUUGAUACUUUGAUCUAACCUAACAAACACCGAAGUGUUUUGUUCUCAACUAGGCACACUUUAUACCAAUAUAUACCAUGCCUUAAUUAAGGGAUUAUUUGGUAUGGCUCCUUCUCUUAAAGUGUUUAGUUUGGCUCUUUCGCAAAAGCUGUUGUUAGAGCUGUGUCAAACAUGCCCUGAUAAGCAUAUACAAUUUGAUCGAAUAUGGCGCGGCUAGCUAGUGUAUGUUUGCAUGCCUUCGCUCUUGUUGGUACAUAUAAUGUUUAAGCACCACAAAACAUUUGCCCCUACUUGACCUAUGUUAAGGCAAAGACUUUUAUUCUUUAUUAUCCAUAAUUCAUUGAAUGCGUCUUAUUUUUGAAAUAUUUCCUCCAAAACAUGACAUGCAAACAAAAUUUCGCCCGGUACAACCUAGCCUCCAUCUAUCUAUUUUCUUGCACACACAACAUAUACUCAUUAUUAGCGAAGGGAAUCAAAAGGGGGAGUUAGGCACCUGGCCCCAAAUAUUUUUAUGCCCCAUAUAUUGUAUCUCUCAAUUAGCUAUUUAAUAUUCCAAUUAUCUAGUUAAUAUUGCUAUUUAUGCUUUGAUUCAUUGUAUUCUCUCCAUAUUAUAUAUAAUUAAGAAUUUGCAUUGAUCUUAUAUUGUUUUCUACAUCUCUUUUGUUCUUUUUAUUAUUCACACACACGCGCGCGCGGGGGCGCGCACACACACAUUACACCAUUAUAAUUAGCUAGUUAUUUGUAAUUAGUUCUUUGCUUAUUUCCUGCCUUGGAAAUAAACUCCAAUAGAAUCUAUACUGUUUAUUUAUUUAUUUAUUUAUUUAUUUAUUUAUUUAUUUAUUUCAUAUUAACCUUCUUACUAUCUUUCUUGUGCGCUUUAUUCUUGUUACUGUCGUGAUUCUUUUCUGGCCUAAUAAUUAGAUUGAUCUUUGAAGGUUAGAGGUCUAGGACUAAUUAGUUUCAUUUUAUUUUUCUCUACAAUAUUCAAUGCUCUUUUUAAAAAGCAAUGCCGCCUUUCUUUGGUACCAUAACACAAACGUUUAUUUAACUAUUAUGUAUACUCUUGUCGUAUAUAUAUUUCGUCAUGUAUGAUUGUUGUUGGUUUGAAUGGUUUUCCUGUAUCUAAAUCCUAGCUCCACCUUGUAUAUACAUACAUUUUUUAUACACACAUAAGAAGUGAAAAGAAAUACUAGAUUGGUGAUUGAUGAAGAUAUACACAUACAUAUAGGCCUUGUUUAGAUGUGAAAAUUUUUUGGAUUUCGCUACCGUAGCACUUUCGUUUGUUUGUGGCAAAUAUUGUCCAAUUAUAGAAUAACUAGGAUCAAAAGAUUCGUCUCGUGAUUUACAGGUAAAUUGUAUAACUAGUUUUUAUUUUCGUCUAUAUUUAAUACUUCAUGCAUGUGCCGAAAGAUUCGAUGUGAUGAGAAAUCUUAAAAACUUUUUGAUUUUUAGAGUGAACUAAACAAGGCCAUACUACACAUAUAUACACAGCAUGAGGAACCGAACCGAAGUACGAAGAUGCAGUAGGAAAGGUUUGGAUGAUAUGGACGGGUGGCGGGUGGAAAAGCGUGGAGGGAGCAGCAAGCUGCAAUGAUGGGUGCGCGCAAGCCCCGCCGAGAACGCCACUUCUCCGCUGCUUUCCAUGCCCACACGCUUCAUAACAGUCCAGUCCUUGUAGUGGGCCCACGCCCCUACUGGGCUUCAUUCCACAUGAACAUCCGUGGGGCCCAUGGACCCACCACUGCCGUUUACUUCAGUUUGUAGGGCCUUGUUUACUUCUAAAUUUUUUUUUUACAAAAUAGAAAUAGUAGUAUUUUCGUUUGUAUUUGACAAAUAUUAUCUAAUUAUAAACUAACUAGGCUCAAAAGAUUCGUCUUGUCAAUUUCGACCAAACUGUACAAUUAGUUUUUAUUUUCAUUUAUAUUUAAUACUCCAUACAUACGUCUAAAGAUUCGAUGUGACGGGGAAUCUGAAAAAUUUUGCAAAAUUUUUGGGAACUAAACAAGGCUUAGGUCGUGUGUAGAAUUUCUCCCCAAUUUAGACUUUAGAUAAUGAUUAAGGACAUGUAUGUAUAUACUCCAUCCUUUAGUCUAGGCUUAGAUUAAAUAUUAGGAAUAUAAAUCAUAAAUAACUUUUAAGUUAUUAAGACCUUGUUUAGUUUCUGGACGAAAAGUUUUUGAUACUGUAGCAUUUUCAUUUGUAUUUGACAAUUAUUAUGCAAUUAUGGACUAACUAGACUUUAAAGAUUUGUCUCAUAAAUUACAGAAAAACUAUAUGAUUAAUUAUUUGUUAUCUAUAUUUAACGCCUAAGUUUUUGGAUAAGAAAUAUUGAAAAGUUUUUUGAUUUUGGAUGCAACUAAACAAGGCCUAAGUUUGGAAAUGCGAAAAUAAUUUGAAGACUGUGUUGCUAUUCAAAAGAACUUUUAGUAGCCUAGAGUGAGUACGUUUUUUGCUUAAAAACAAAGAAAAGGAGUGAAUACUGAAUAUAUGUAGAGGAUUAUUAUAGGGCAGCAAACGCACUUUCUGAUUCUGAAUCUUGCAAUGUCACACCCUGAAAACGCUGCCUUUCUUUUCGCUUUUGCAAGCAUAUGCCACCUUUCAACCCUGUAAUAGCAUCCAUUCAAGCAAUGCACGAUCGUCUAUAUUCCUCUAAAAAUAGUACAACUUGGAACCAAGGCCUUGUUUAGUUCCCAAAAAAUUUUGCAAAAUUUUUCAGGUUCCCCGUCACAUCGAAUCUUUAGACGCAUGCAUGGAGUAUUAAAUAUAGAUAAAAAUAAAAACUAAUUGCACAGUUUGGUCGAAAUUGACGAGACAAAUCUUUUGAGCCUAGUUAGUUCAUGAUUGGACAAUUUUUAUCAAAUACAAACGAAAGUGCUACAGUAUCGAUUUUGCAAAAAAAUUUGGAACUAAACAAAGCCCAAAUUGCUGUUUGAAAGACAGCAAAAAAGGAAGAGAAAAAAGGGCCCAAAAAUCAUCCUGCCUUCUGGACUCCCGGUCCUCCAAAUCGGAAUGUCGGCACGAAACACACAAGGGUGUGCAGCCUUUGGCGACACAGGUCCCUGUCAGCUGUACUGUACUGUACCACAGUGAGCUCGCCGCUCAUCACUCAUCAGUGCGCUCUCUAGAUUUAUAUAUGUAUAUAUAGAGAAAAAAAGGAAUUUGUUGGACAGUCAGAUCUUAUGAUUCUUCUGAAAUGACUGGGAAACAAGACAGCUUAUUUUGUCACACAUGUUUAUUUUCCAAAAAAAAAAUAGUCACACACACAAUGUUUUUUUUUUGAAACAAAGCAAUCGUUUUAUUGCCUUCUCACGGGUUCACUUGAAUCCCAAGUUACCCAAGAGAUUACAAACUCUGAGGGGGAUCAGUCCAGACAUAGGAUUGAUCCGGGUCCCAACUCAAGCCAACACGAGCAAGUUCAUGAGCACAACUGUUACAAGAUCGUGACGCAUGGACCACAUCUACAUGUACAAAAUUCAUAGAAAUAAGAAAUUUUGCUUCUCUAAUGAGAACACCAGCAACCGAGAAAUCAUAGUGGCAUCAUACUGGCAUGCAACAAAAUAGAACAGGUCAUCUUGUUCUUGUUUGCUUGACCUGUUCGGUUGAACUUCACACACUGACUUAUUAGCCAUGUAACAGAGUUUUUUCUCUCAAAACAAAUCAGCUUCGACUGUCAGCCGUAGAAACCAUCAACCGAACAAGCACUCCAUAUGGUGCUGAUUUCCGGUAGGCCUCUCAAAUCUCCAUGGUGCUGAUUUCCGGUGGCCACCGCGUGGUCAAUCAUCCAUGGGCGCCGGCCGGGCCGCCGGCCAAUCAUCCCGCCGCCUGGUUGGUGAGGCCGGCACGGCGGCACCCCAUCUGGUUGGUGCUGCUCGGUGGCGUCUGGCGCCCAUGGCUCACAUGCUCCCAGUCCCAGGUUUGUCUCUUUGGGACAAGGACAUGCAUCUGGUUCCUCGCCAGGACUGUGUGUUGUUCCCGUCGCCUGAGCUGUUUGUGUUGCCAACAGCACGUUGCUGCCACUGUUCAGGGGACACUGGACACGUCAUCGCCUCCCUGGCCUUGCCACCGGGCAACCUUACCUCAUGGGCAUGAAUGAGCAUCGACUGAUGCAUCACCCUCCAACAGGGUUGCAGUGUGUGGUUCCAUGAAUCUGGGCACUACUCUUUGACAGUGCCACAUAACAUGAAUAAUAUCAGGAUAUGGCACCAGGAACUCUGAUCAUUGUACAAAUGAAAAAUGUCAACAUAUCAGUGGCAUCAAGCAUUUCAGAACAGGUUCAUCAACUUAAUUACUCAAGGGGAAGAGAUGAUUUACUGUUAUUCUUCUAGCUGAAAUUCAUAAUGAACUUAUUGCUGCUAAUCAUAGGCAGGACUUUAACAUAACAUGCACCAUAAAUUAGCACUAGGUACAUACAAUGGUCCAGAACUCAUUGCCAAGCUAAGGCAUAUAUCUACAGUACAGCACAGGUUUAUUAAGUAUACGCCGACGAAAAUUUCUCACGCUAUCCCUAGCUAGGCUAGCUAGACAAGGCUCUUCAUCUUACGCCUCAGCCACAUUGGCCUAAUAUCUACACUCAGCGAGAGGAAAAUCUCCCGGUUGCUCGCGUCCAAGAAGACGUCGGGCGCCAGCGACUUCUCGACCGGCGACAGCUCCGCCAUGGCGCUCAUCACCUCGAUGCACCGCGGGAUGCUGAACCUGUUGUCCCCAUGGAUCUCUGGCUUCUUGCUCUCUCUCGGGGCAAUGGCAUGCGCUUCCAUAGCAUCAGAGGUCCCAUCCUCGCUGGGCCUCCUGGAGAAGCGCCAUAUUUCUCCACGCGGUUCCUCAACUGGCCUCCUGGAGAGCUGCCAGGAGGGUGGCUCGGGACGCACCUGAGCCAGUGGUUUAGGGUACAGGUGCCCAUUCAUGGUCUGGACUUCCACGCCGACUAGAGUCUCCUGUUGGAAUGAAGACUCCCUGGACACUGGAGACGGAGGUAUUGGGGAGAGUUGUCGGUUCAUGUAGAAGUCAUCUUCGUCGUCGCUUGAGUCAACUUCAGUCCCAUUUCUUUCUUGCAGUAUAGGUGCAGCAACACUGCUUUUACCAUCCAAAAUAACACCAACUGCAGAAUAAGAAUGAGAAAUAUCUUAGUUUCAGGAACAGGUUAAACUUGCACAUUGAAUCAUAUCUUAUCCCAUUAGUUAACAAAUACCAAGCAAGCCAUCAUCUGUUAAAAAGACAUACAUGUUACUCUUUAUCUGAACAAAAAUAGGUGGUACAAGCUGUUCAGGAAGACAGCAUAACAUAUCAGGUUAACUUCAAGAUAUCCAAAACUACCAGCCAAAACAAAACAAGCUAUUCAGGAGGCUUAGAAAACACUUAAAAUGAGGGCUUCUUUCUAUGGCCCUGAAAAGUUUACCCUCCCUUAUUUCACCCAAGGUUCAAGUUCAACUAUCAUCCCUCAAAAUGACACUCCUAUAGUCCUAUCCAACUGGUGUUAAGUGUAGUUUAAAAGGACAAUUUUGCUCUGAGGUAGAAAGUGUUCAGUUUGUACGGUAUAUCAGGUCUCUAUAUGUUGUUCUCAAAUAAAGAUCACACCAAGAUUAUGUUGUGACAUACCAACUACAAAUAUGAGAUAUACUUAACACGAAUUGAUAUUUCAGAGUGGAAACUCAAAUGUAUGUUUCCAUUUCAAAACGUCCAACAGCAGCACAGAAAGAGUACAUGCAUAGGUGUGUAUUGCCAGAUUUCAGACUUUUGAGCUUAAAUAAACAUAUCUAGUCGAAGUGGUGCCUCCACGCUACUGGCACCAUGGGUCGUUGCUCUGUUGUUGCAUAACACACAUCGCCACUCAAUAUCGGUCAUGACACCUCACCACCGCGAGUUAUGAGCUGUUACCACAGCCAUCCGUCGCCGUCGUGAGCUCACAGCAUGGGACGCCAUUGACCUGCAGUUGUCGCAUUCUGCACCUUGCUAUUGCCCACACCCACAGUGCCACCUGCUGCACACACCACCGCAACACUGCCGACCUGGCGCCGCGAACUCCAUUCGCGCAUAGAGCAUCGCCUCUGCUGCUAGACCCUGCGGCUCCCACGUAAAGCAUCAAAACCUGUGCCUUCCCACGACGACAAGGGCACCUGUGCAGCUCUCCUGGGCCUGUGAAACUCCCGCAAAGAACACCCAUACCACUCCUCGCCCAUGCCCUUCUCAGUUGGUCCCGUGACCACACGGUUCCUAGUCAGAAUAACAUCAGCAUUGCCAUCGAGCUCCUGCGGUCCUGCCUCUGGCUUGGCACAGUGCCAUCGACUGAGCUGUCCCACAACAUAAUCGAGUGAAGCCUGCCCACGCGUCCAUGAACGAGCCUGCCCCCACACCCUCCUUAGCUACAUCUGAGCCGUCACCUCUGACCACAGGUGCUUUAGGGUUUGGGAGGAUAGGGAUAGGGAGCAGUGAAUGGAUGAGCAGCUGCCCGUCGGACAGAUCACAGAUGUCCCUUGGAUGGCAGUCAUUUUACGGAUAAAAGUUCAACCUAUUGUCAAGUGAGGGAGGAUGAACUUUUAAGGGCCAUAGAAAGAAGCCCUCUCAUUUUACCAGUGCAAAUAAGGAAAUUUCUCGACUACACUUUGCAUACCAAACUAGCAUUACAGUAUCUAAUUCUAUAUUAAGACAGCACUCCAUGAAGUCAACUACUCUGAAAAAAUUACCAAAGUAUAUGUAGUUCCUCAAAAAGCAUUCUCAAGAAUAGCCUGCUUAUUAUUUCUCAUCAACUUGAGAUAGCAUGCCUUCCUAUCCUAGUCUCCUAGAUAUUGUUGCUAAGGACUCACUGCUGUUCUAAUGACCCCUAGUGGUCUUGGACCGAUCUCACAGCUAAGAAUAGCCAGCUCCAAGAUCUGCAAAUAGGGCCAUAGUAAGCUCGAUGGGGUUGGCAGUCACCUUUGUUAGAAUGCCUCCAUAGUCAAGGUUUGCCUAGAGGAAGGUGCGGUGGUUGGCUGUCAUAACAAGUUGUAGAGAUGGUACUAGGAUAUGAGUUCUAGUUGUAGAGGUUAAUUAAAAGAUCAGUUACCUUCCAACAGAACAGCCCCUGUUCCUACAGAUAGGAAAAGAGGGUAGUGCAGGCCUGCUGGGACUUUCAGAAGAGCCUUUGACCAUCUGCCUAAAUCCUCUGAUACAAUUAUACAGCAGACAACUCCUGAAAAAGCUGCUCUAGCUAGGAAGCUAACAAGGUACUUCAUAACCUCUGUAUCCAGAUUCUAAUGUCUCUACGAAAAAUGAUAGCUUCUCCCUCCCUCCCUCUAGGCCCAGGUAAGAUUGAGCAGUAACAUUGGGUGCCAGCCUGCCAGGUUCUAUUGGUGCACAGUUCCUGACAACACUAUCUAGCUGUUCCUAAGAGUGCUACAACAUAAAAUUGUUCAAAACAGUAUCAAGCAAUGAAAAAAUCACAAAUCGUGCGAAAAAACUAUCUAGUUGGCAGUUAAGGAAGAAACUUGUGCAAUACUAAGGUACCAAACAGGAUUAAACUAGAAGAUAUCUGAUGCAAAACUCCACAUUAAAAUCAUUCACUAGACUCCAUUCCAGUGAUCCAGUCCUUAAUUGCAUUACCUUUUCUCCCAAAUGGGUUUCUACAAUCAUCGCAUUUACAGUUGAUGGAGCAUCCUGCCCCUCCCUUCAAAUUAAAAAAAAAAACAUGUUUCCUUAAUCACAAACUGUCAUGAUGAAAAUGAAAAUUAACAGGACAAGGCUGAAUAUGAAACCUGGUAGCAGUCACAGUACUUCUUAAGGCAGCCUGACUUCUUGCAGGUGCAUUUUCUUCUAAUAAGAUCCAUAGGGGACCUUAUGACUUGUUCCUGAAGCCAAUAAAUAGCAGGAUCACCAAAAACAAAAUGAAAGAAAGAGUAUAAAAAGAUAUAGAUAAGGUGAUGUAAGAAGAAAUUCAUACCACUAUGUCUUGACCAGCUUCUGAUGUUUGGACAGGUUUCAGAGGUAAAAUCAGUGCAGUCCGUGGAGCAACUUGCAGUGGUUGCUUGUUUUCACAAGGUUCGCAUCCACAUGACUCAGUACAACGUGACCCAGAAGCAAAGCAUACACAAUAACUGUUGCAGAAUAACACAGAUAAUGAUUAUACACAAAAGAGAACUUAAAUUAGCAAGAGAAAACAAAAAGCAAGGCACACAAACACAUGGUCAGGUGUGGAGGUCACAUGCCAGUGCAUAGGCAAUGGCAUGCACUAAACGUCCACAAGACUACAGGUGUGUGCAUAAACCAGCCCGAUUUACUUAGCACAGUUUUUUCAACACAGCAGACUAAUCACGAUUACUCCAUGAUUCAUAAACAUAUUGGUAACUGGAUGUGAUCAGGUAUAUUGACUUUGGUUAGCAUCGACAACCAGUAGGCCAAUAUUAGUCACAAUUAUUUUGCCAAGUCUGGGCGACUGACUUGCAGCCAGUAGCAUGAGCUUGGCAAUUCUGGACCUACAGUAUAUGAGCCCAUUAGAAAUCAACAUAUGCAUGCAUACACACACAUAUUACAUUGGAAGCUCUGUUUUUUACCUAACUCCAAUCUAUUUAUUCUCUGCAGUCUCUAUUCCAUGCUCUGCAAGAUGUUAAUGCCCUCAACAUAUGAGUUAAUAGGGUUUACACAAUCAGGUACAGCCAUCAAACUAGGUAGUAGGCAGCAUGAGCCAACAGGACAACUUAGUCGACUAGCCAACAGACGAAUCAUGCAUGUGUAGUUGACUAGUUGGUAGUGGUGCAGUAACCUGGCAAGUCCACCUGACUUUAUAACUAUACUUGAAACAUUGAUUCAGCAUUCACCUUUAUUGCAAUUGUGACAUGUGUGUUAAACCCUCAUCGGCAAACUCAGCUCUCUCCACAGGAUGAGUGGUACACAGCAUUACGUCCAAAUACACCAGAAAAUGCAGCAUGCUCUUCUUCCACUGUGCAACCUCACAGCGGGAUAUAAUAAAACGAGAAGCAUCAAUAAACUUAGAACUAGCAAUGGAAUCAGCUUCUUCUCAUUAAUCUAUAUCGAAUUACGAACUGGACUACUGGAGUUACUGGUGAGCUCAAGAUGCUCAAUAAAACCGCAGCAUUUUGCUACUAGGCAGUAUGAGAUUGACGAAACAAAAAUUAGCACCGUACAUUUGAAACAUGUAAGAUUAAUCAGAUCUAAACCUGCCUAAAACAACACUGAAUUCAUCAGCGACAGCAAACCAGAUCAGCAGCGCAUCAAAAUGGUAAAACGUCCUAGGCGCACACUGACGACGACAUGUCGGACUGAAGGGGUAAAAAAGUUCGUUUUUUUUUCCUCCAGCCACACCUCAUUCAGUCAUUCCUGGUGAAACAUACACUGCGGGGCCGAACGACACAAUGGAGAAGGCUGCAAGCCCGGUGUGGGGAUGAAAGAGGGGAACUUACAGCUUCAUGCACCUGGACUUCUUGCAGCUGCAGGUCUUGCACCCGUCCCCGUCCUCCGCCUUCCUCCUGAUUGACCCAGCAAAGAGAAAAACAAAAACAGAGUGCGGAGUGAGGAAAAAUUUGUACUGUAAGCAGGAGCGAAUCGCACGCAACGAACCAAAAGAGGAAACCGGAAACUUUGCAGAAAAAGGGGAAGGCGCACGGACCUCCUCUUCCUGUCGGAGGUGCCGUUGGCCUCCGCCGGCGCCGGCGCUGGAGCUGGAGCCGGCGGCGAGACGGCCGCCGAGGCGGUGGGCGCGGCAGCCUCGGCGGCGGGGGUCAGGGCCUGGACCGGCGCGGGCGCGGGGGCGGGGGCGGGAGGUGGCGGGGGCGGAGGCGGAGCAGGAGCAGGACGAGGCGGGGAGAGGCGCGCGUCGUCGGGCUCCGAUCCGGCUGGCUCCUCCGGCAGCGGGAGAUUCGGCGCCCCCACCUCCGCGUCCAUCGGAUCGGGCGCCGCCGCCGCCGCUGGCAGCGCUGGCGGCGCCCCGAUCGGCGGCUCGGGCGGCGUGGUGGGGCUCGCCGUGGCGACGAAGCGAAGGCGAGCGAGCGCGUGAGGAGGUGCGGUCGGAAGGGGAGAGGGAGGGAGGGCACGAGGGAAGGGAGGCCAACUGGUGAAAUGGGGGGCUUAGGGUGCUUUGAGAUUCGCGUCCGCUGCUGGGGACGGCUGUGAUCGGGUGUUUCCUCCUUGGAUCCGGUUGGGUUCCGUUUCGACCUGGGCUGGCUUUUCUCUGGUCACAAAACGUGAUUAGCACACACACGCAGCAUAAAGCCGCAAGCUUUUUCUUUUGUUUUGGCAGGGUGUGAUUGGUAGUGGAGUGAUUAAAUACUCAACUUUUUUUGUAAAUUUUAGACACAUAACCUUUAUUAUAUAUCUAGACAUAUACUACAUCUUUCUUUUUCCAGAAAACAUGUACUACAUCUAGAUUCAUAACUUCUGCUAUGUAUAUAGAAAAGUCAAAAUGACUUAUAAUUUAGAAUGGAUGGAGUAGUAAAAUAUUAGCAGUUAAAUUCCAAAUCAUGUGCUCCAGAUAGAUUAGUAGCAGAUGAAAUAAUAAUCGGGUUUGUGGUGUGCAAAUAUAAAUUCCCACGAAUCCAAAUGUUAAAUGAAUACGAGCAUAGAUAGCUAAAAUGAAUGUUCCGAAUCCUAUGCUCUAGAUGAAUUAGUAGCAGCUCGAAUAUUAAUUGGAUUUUUUUUUUGGUGUGUAGAUAUGAAUUCGCACAAAUCCAAGAAUGAAAUGAAUACGAGUAUGGAUAGCAAAAAUGGAUACUGCCAUAUUUAUUGCUCUGGAUACAGUGUUUUGGUAAUUCCUCUUGAUUUUUAAAUUUGCUACAUCUCUUGCCGGCACGCUCUCUCUUCCACUGCUUCAUGCUACAUCUACAUCACCUUUUGUCUUUUGCGCAAAAAUAUCACUUAGGCCUUGUUUAGUUUACUCCAAAAAUAAAAAACUUUUUAAGAUAUUUCCAUCACAUCGAAUCUUGCAAGACAUGUAUGG
rnacentral:lncRNA from 1 species